rnacentral:lncRNA from 1 species
UCUAUCCCCUUUGAUAUUAUCAGCAGAUGCAUACGAUUCGAGUUCAGACAUCUCUUCAAGGGUCAAUUUCACAGAUAGAGCUUUGAUGUUGCUUUUCAGGUUUUCAAUCUUGGUGGUUCCAGGUAUUGGACAAACAUCGGGUCCUUGAUGGUGAAUCCAAGCCAAUGCCAGUUGAGAAGGUGUGCAUCCUUUUCGCUUCGCCAUUUCACUCACUCGUUGGAAGAUAACUUCAUUCUGUUCUGAAUUUUCUUUUUGAAACCUUGGAUUCGUCUGCAUAUGAUCGAAUUUUAUAGGAAGAGUUUUGUAAUUGUGGCUACUUUAAUUAUUUAGUGUACAUGUGUAUACCUUGCGAAAAUCGUUUUCCGAUAAAACAUCGGCAAGCUUGGAACCAGUUGCCAGGAAACCUCGUCCAAGAGGAGAAUAACAUACAAUGCCUAUCCCGAGCUCUCUGAUUUCAUAUCAUUAGAAAUUUAAGAAAUAUAUGAUUCUAACCAUCUAUAUGAUCUUGAUUCUGAAUAUAUAUAUAUAUACCUGCAAGUAGGGAUGAUUUCUUCUUCUACAUCUCGAGUCCACAACGACCAUUCUAUCUGAACUGCUGUGAUGGGAUGAACUGUAUGUGCUCUUUUGAUAGUUGAAGCAGAAGCCUCUGAAAGUCCGAUGUAUUUGAUCUUCCCUUCUUCGACCAAUUUCUUCAAUUCCCCCAUCUAACAUGAAAGAAAUGAAACUUAAUUUAUAAAAUAAUGAAAAUCAUAUCUAUUUUGAUGGAAUCAAUCAUGAUUUCAAAUAUGUUUCUACUCACCGUGAUUUCAAUCGGUAUUUUGGUGUCGAUCCGAUGUUGAUAGUACAGAUCAAUACAAUCUACUCCAAGUCUCUUCAAACUACCUUCACAACAAGCUCGAACAUACUCAGGGUCACCACGAAUCUCAAAGUUUUGGUGUAGGAGCUGGAGCCCAAACUUGGUGGCCACUUGAACCUUGUGCCUGAUCUCCUCCGUUAGUGCCUUACCCAAGAGUAGUUCAUUGGUAUGUGGACCGUAGACAUCGGAGGUAUCCAGUAGAGUGAUACCAUUACUGAUGGCGUAGUGAAUAAGCUCAACCAUUUCGAUCUCUGGCUUUGCAGGACCGUAUAAGAACGACAUACCCAUACAACCCAAUCCUUGUCUUGAUACUUCUAAACCUUGAUUUCCAAGUUUCAUUCUUCCCACAAAAACAUCUUCUCUUUCAGAAUCCAUUUUCAGUACUGCCUUAAUCUCGUCCAUAACUAGAAACUAUAUAAAGAAAGAUGUGAGUGCAAAAAUCCAUGACAUAAGGGAUGAUGCAAGCAGGCAUGUAUAUCCGACGACUCAGAUAUCUUCGUAUCCGAAUCUGUCUGAAUAAUAUCUGAAUAGAAAAAUUCGAAUCCGAAUUCAGAUAAAUUUUUAGAUAUCGGAAAAGUUCAUAUAACUUUUUAUAUAAAACCGUAAAAAAUCUUAAAAUAAAAUUAUUAAUAGUCAAUUAAUCACUCUAAAAUCCCGAAAUCAAUUUAUAUUUAUUCGAAUAUUCAGAUAUCCGAAUCUGAAAUUAUCAACCGAAUUUGGAUUUUAAUGACUGAAAUUGCAAAUAAUUUUCAAACAUGUGAUCAAAUAAUUUUCAACUUGCUUUCGCGGUCAAUAAUGACUUUCAAACAUGGAAUCUUUAGCCGUAAAUAUAGCCGACCAAUGACAUGUGAUCAAAUAAUGACAUUACUUGUUGACAUUAAAUGUAAUGUCAGAUCCAAUAAAGACACAGUUGGGACCAUUAAUGUCCCACUUGGCUUUUUACAUGAUCCCCCUUAUAUAUUUAAAAAAUUUGUAUUUUAAUAGUUGUAAAUAAUAUGGACUUUUAAAUAAAUAUUACAAUAACUUAUAAAAUAAUUAUUAUACCAAAAUAGAGUAUUGUUUCAAAAUAGAGGAAGUUAUUAUAAUUUCACCCUUAAACAAAUAAAUAAUCUCUAUACUCUAUUUCUUUAUUUUAGAAUCCCUAAAUCGAAAUUAUCAUUUUUUAUCUUCUCUCCCCCCAAAUCUAAUCUUCUCUUCCUUUCUUUGAAUCUCUAAUCUCUCCAUGAAAUCUUAUUAGUGGUUUUGUUUUUUGGUUUUUGUUUGAUUAUUUUAAAACAGUAGCAUUCAGAUAUCCGCCGAUAUUAUAUCUGUCAAGUUAAUCAUGUCCAUUAUAUCGAUUUUACGUCGUACAUAUUAGAUAAUAUUGUCAUUAGAUAUAAAUAAAUGUGUUAUUAACAAUAUUUACAAUAUUAGUUAGUAUAAAGUUAACAAUGUAUUAAGAAGAAAUUGAUUGAAUAGUUAACAUGGUAUCGAGAGCUGGUUGACACACGUCAUCUUAGCAGGUUUUUAUUUUUUAAUUUUAUGAAAACUAACUAUAUCUCAUUUAAUCUUGUGAUUGGUUCAAUACAUUCAUUGAAGACUAUAUCUUUUUUUUUGUUUGUUGGCUGUUCUGUUUUAAUUAUUGCAUUUCAAAUUAUUUUUUUAAUAUAGAAUGUUAGAUAUAGGCAUGUUAAGUGCCAAUAUUGAAUAAAAUUUUGUGCAUUGUUCUAUAAAUCAUAUGUUUUGCCAAAAAGGGAAAAAAUAUUGUCUAUAUAUCAUAUGUUAGUGUUUUGUACAGUACAUUAUUUUACGUCGUACAUGUGUUAGUGUAUUAUGUAAUACGUUAUUUUAAACAUUAGAUUAAAUACUAAUGGUCACGAUUUGAUGACACGCGACGACGCAUUCAAGGUACGACACACCUAAAGUGCGCCCCUAUUUUAAAGUUGUUGAUGAAUUGAUGGUGAUCUUGAUGAAGAUGAUCCCACAAUCUAGGCAUACGUAUUUAUAGAUAGCGCAGAGUGCGUUGUGCAAGGAGCACCGAUCUGGAUAUUCCCUAGAGCUGAUGGAUCGAAAAUAAGAAAAACAAUAUGAACUAGUGCAAAAACUCAUGUUCUAGAUUUCAAUUCCUGUUCUAGAUUUACAAAAUACCAGUGCAAAAACUCUAGCAGUUAAAUGUAAUCAGUUAGAUAGCUGGGUCGGGUGCGGAUCCGGCUCCCUCUACGAACUAUAAUAACUUCUUCGAUUUUGUCAGAAGUUGAAGCUUUAUUCUGUCCGUGCAACAGUGUAACAUUUGUCUUUGUGUCGAUCAAAAUGUUGUUUAUAUUUUCUUCAACCUCCUUUAAUUCUUUCAUCUGCCUAGCCAUAUUCUUUAAAAAACUCAUGUAUCCAGUUCAGAUAGGCUUGAAGAUGGAAAGAGCUACCUGUGACAAUGGGCGGAGAGAAUCGAUUCCUCGACGCACUUUUAAUAGAAAAAAAGAUUAAAACAUCAAACAUUAAUCAAAAUCGUGAAAAUUUUAAUGAUUACCGGCCUAUAUAUGCUUACUUUUCAUUAAUUGAGUCGCGGAAUGAUUUCAGAGUGUGUUUACUCGCAGCAGGAACUCGGAUAUUUUUCUUCUUCUUUUGAUCUGACGAGACUCCCUUGUGUUCUUUUUUCCCUUCUUGAACAGAUUUUUGUUGGUCAUUGUUGAUCUUCAUUUCCUUUUCGUAUCGUUCUUUAUCCUUAGCUGCCAUUUUCUGAUAAACCUACAACAUAUAUACAAUUCCAACAUAUAUAAAAACUAAAUAGUUAUAGCAUAAAAAGAUCAUAUGUAUAUAUCAAACUAAUAAACUUACAGAUUUCUUAAAGGGCGAGAGAUGCCUCCAUUGAUAACCAACAUGCAUGCAAAUCUCUGUCCGACUUCCAAACUUUGCAGCUUUCAUCUUUGGGAAUUGAUUCAUUAAGUAAAGUGUAUAGCCACUGCGGUUCUUCUUUGGUUUUGUUGAUCUCUUUAUCUUCAAUUCUCUUCGAUUAUGAUCGCGAGUUAGUGUGGCAUCCAUACUUCUUCUUUCAUCUUCACCUAAUUGAGAUUGUGAGUCCAUAUCAAGUGUCCAAGAUCAGAUUACUGCAAAAAUAACAUGGAAAGUUCAAAUUCUCGCGAUCACGGAAAUUCCGUCAAUAUUUUUCAAUUUAUAAACACAGAAAAAAUUCAUACAAAAAAUUCAUCAUGUUUAAUGUUAAACAUAAACAAUAAGCCUUUGAUCCCAUCACCAAAUUUUCUUAAGUGAUCGAAAAUAUACGUUUAAUUACUUACACCAUGUAAUUGACAAAAAUGAAAAGAUGAAACUUUUAUCAAGAUAUUUGAAAGUUUUUUUAUGAAAAAAAUGGUCACAAAAAAAAAACAUUGAUCGAUUUUUCAAAACAAAAUUACAAGAAAGUUCGAAAAUGGAUGAUGUAUCUGGAGAAAAUGAACAAGUACCUUAGGAAAAUAAUGAACAAUCAAAGAUUAUAUCAAACAGCAGAAAAUACUUGGAUGGCAGGAUGGUCUAAUGUAUUUGAUUUUCAUAUAGAGAUUUCAAUAUAAAUAUACAAAAUGUGAUCAUAUCAAUGAUUUUAUUUUGGAUAUUAACAAUCAUAUUUAUUAAAAAACAUGGAUUUUUUACUAUAUUUAUUAUAAAACAUGGAUUUUUUACUAUAAAUGCCUAAAUCCAAUAUUUAUUUUAUCAUGCUUAUGCAAUCUUAUCAAAUCUAAAAUGUGUAGAGUAUUAAUUAAUUGAAUAUCUAGAUUUUGAAUCUAAAAAUUUAAUUAUACAUCUUGCUGCCAGGAUUUUUAUGAAUCCAUCUAUUAUGAUUUUUUAUGAAUCCAUCUAUUAUGACUUUUUAUGAAUCCAGGAUUUUUAUGAAUCCAUCUAUUAUGAUUUUUUAUGAUUCCAUCUUUUAUGAUUUUUUAUGAAUCCAGGAUUUUUAUGAAUCCAUCUAUUAUGAUUUUUUUAUGAAUCCAGGAUUUUUAUGAAUCCAUCUAUUAUGAUUUUUUAAAGAAAGAUUUUUUAUGAUUUUUUGUAAAUAAUAUGUUUUUCUUUUAAAUUUUCAUUAAAUGAAAAUGAUGAUGUUAUCUUGCAAAUGUUUCAGCAACUAUUAAGGUUGGCUCAUUGGUCUCAGAAACUAUUAAGGUUUCUAAAGUCUAGGGUUCGUGGUGACACAUGUCUGAUUACGUCAGUCACUCCCAACAGCGUCCUUCAAUAAGGACUAGGGUUCCGUCGCUUUAUGCCGGACCCCCGGAGAGCACUACGGUUGCGGGCAAGUGUCUACGUCAAGUACUCAAGUCAACACUGGGAAUCGACGACUGGGACUACCAAGUCGCCGACUCCAGAGGUGAGUCACUGAUUCCAGGCCUAGUUGAUCAGCUCUGGUAGACUGCCAACCUGGCUCAUGGGGAAUCGAUGGCUCUACCUUGAGUCGUCGACUUCCACACCUGAGUCGCUGACACCUUUAAUAGGGCAUCAUAAUGGCGUGGGCCCCAGGAAUAAUGAAUGAGAAACGCCCCAAGGACCCUAUAAAAGAGGCCCUUCGGGGGUUCUCAUUCAUCAUCUCAUUCCUCCACAAACACUUGACACACUCCACACCAGAGCAAACUAAGGAGCCCGAGUCGCCGACUCCCACAUCUGAGUCGCCGAUUCCCCUCCUCUUCUGCAGGUAUUUGACAUAGAGCACGUGUCGUGGACUCCAAAGCUUUCGGCCCUCCUCGCAACCCCGCGAGCCCACUGGUAGCAGAUUUCGUACUUCAUCAGUUCGAAUCUUAUUUUAUACAUUUUCACUUAAAUUUACCCGAUAAUAUAUUAUGUGGCUCUGGUAUAUAAUUCGGAGGUUGACAGCUUUACUUCUGUGUAGAGGUACCCUCCGUUAUCCAAAAAAAAGUUAUCUUGCAAAUAUUUUUUGCAAAUCAUAUUCCUUUUUUGUAUCAUGUUUUAUACUUUAAUAUUGUCACUUCUACAAUUAAUAGUUAAUGUCCAUAAAAUAUUUAUGCAAAAUCCUAAAUCUUCAAAAUAAUUUUGAUACUCCAAAUUUUUUUAUGGGUCUAGAUUGGGUCUGGUUCCAAAUAUUUUUCUUCUGGACCCAGACCCGGACCAACUUUAUGGGUCCAGGUCCAAGCCAACCAACCUAGACCCGGCCCGGCCCAUUUACACCCUAGCUAAUUUUGAGUGAUGGAUUUGUUGAUUUAAAAAAACUAUAAAUCACUUAAGGAUAUAAAGAAGAAAUAAAAUGAACUAAAGCACUACACAUUAAAAAUUUAAUAUCAAUUGAUUUCUAAAUCAAUGAUAAAACUAACAACCUCAUUUAUAAUAAAAAUACAAUUAACCUAACUUGAUAAAAAAAUUUAAGGAUUAAAUAAAUUAAACAUUAAUUUCAAAUUUGGAGAUAAAUAAGAGUUAUUUAUUAUUAAAAAAAUAUCAUUUAUCUCUCAUCAAUCUUUCAGUCCAUUAGAGGUGAGAAUGCACUUGACCCGCCUCUUUCCACGCUCUGAUGGAACCGGGAUAGGGGCAGAAAUUCCACCCUGAAAAAACUAUUCUGCCUCGGUCAUUUUUUGGGGCGAGUCUUAGGAGUCGAUAUGGGAAAUUAUUCUUCUAUUUGCCCUACCCCAUCCUCUGCCUAGGUCGCCCCGUCCCGUCCUGGUCAUAUUUUCCAAAGUGGGUCUCGAGGCAAGAUUGCCUCUUCCAUAUAUGCACAUCCCCGGUUUUGCCCCGGUCUUGUAAACUGGGGUGGGGCAUUUUAUUUUGCUCUCUCAAUUUUGCUCACUUUACAUUUAGUUCUCUUCGGUUCUUCAAUUUAGUCGAAUUUCCAAGAUGACUCUAGCUCUCUCUAAAAAUACACCUGCUCUUAAAAAACUUCCCCUAGGCGACUAGAUUCUUCCUUUAGGUAGUCAGCUAAAAUUCCCCAAGGCAACUAGAUUCUUUCUUUAGCUAGUCGACUGAAGAAUUAACAAACGAUUUUUUCCCAUAAGCUUGGAGAUUUUUUUUCUAGUAGAUUGAUAUGUGUUCGACUUUUCUAGAUUAUUAAUGUAGAUCUCUCUCAAAAUACAUUUGCUAUUAAAAAAAUCUUCAUUAGUCGACUGGAUUUCUCCUUUAGCUAUAGUCAGUUGAAAUUUCUCUCUCGUCGACCGAAGGAUCUGAAACAUAUUUUUUUUAUAAACUGAGAGAUUUUUUCAAAUAUAUUGAUUUGUGGUCGACUUUUUUAGAUGUUUGUAUCUCUCUCUAAAUAUACAUCUGCUCUAUAAAAAAUUCUCCCCUUGUUGACUGGAUUCUUCCUUUAGCUAGUCAGUUGAAAUCCCCCUAGGCGACUAGAUUCUUCCUUUAGCUAUUUGACUGAAGGAUAACAAACGAUUUUUUCCAUAAACUUGGAGAUUUUUUCUAGUAGAUUGAUAUGUGUUCGACUUUCCUAGAUUAUUGUAGAUCUCUCUCAAAGUACAUCUGCUAUUAAAAAAAUUUCACUAGUCGACUGGGUUUCUCCUUUAGCUAGUCAGUUGAAAUUUCCCUCUCGUCGACUAAAGGAUCUGAAAAAGAUUUUUUCCAUAAAUUGAGAGAUUUUUUCAAGUAUAUUGAUAUGUGGUCGACUUUCCUAGAUGUUUAUAUCUCUCUCUAAAUAUACAUCUGCUCUAUAAAAAAUUCUCCCCUUGUUGACUGGAUUCUUCCUUUAGCUAGUCAGCUAAAAUUCCCCUAGGCAACUAGAUUCUUUCUUUAGCUAGUCGACUGGAGGAUAACAAACGAUUUUUUCCAUAAGCUUGGAGAUUUUUUCUAGUAGAUUGAUAUGUGUUCGACUUUCUUAGAUUAUUGUAGAUCUCUCUCAAAAUACAUCUGCUAUUAAAAAAAAUCUUCCCUGGUCGACUGGAUUUCUCCUUUAGCUAGUCAGUUGAAAUUUCCCUUUCGUCGACUGGAGGAUCUGAAAAAGAUUUUUUUCAUAAACUGAGAGAUUUUUUCAAAUAUAUUGAUCUGUGGUCAACUUUUUUAAAUGUUUGUAUCUCUCUCUAAAUAUACAUCUGCUCUAUAAAAAAUUCUCCCCUUGUUAACUGGAUACUCCCUUUAGCUAGUCAGUUAAAAUUAUCAUCUAGUCAACUGCAUUUCUAUAGAUUCUCCAGUUGGCAAGCAGAAGCAGUUGUUUGAUAUCGUUGACAAACAUUUCCAACGACGAACAAUAUCUCCACGACUGGACUCGUUGCAUAAUGAUCGGAAAAUCGUCUGGAUUAGCUUGCGGUUGCAUAAAAAAAUUGCAGUAAAGAAGGUGCGGAUUCGGGGUUAGCCCUAAUAUUCUUCAUGACAUCCAUUUGCAAUACAAUGUUCAUCUGGCACACCAAAUGCAAGUCAUCCCAUAUUCCCAUAACUACAAACUUUAUUCUACAAAAAAGUAUCAUUCAUAUAUAACUGAAGGUUGUUUUUGCAAAUUUAACAAAUUAUUGAUGAUGUAAGGGUGAGGUUUGCAACUUCUCCCGUCUUCCUCCGAUCAAUUUAGGUCGCAGAAGGUAAGAACCGGAGGGAGGUAAGCACCGAAGGCAUCUCUUAGAUGGUAGUUGGUACACUCGUAUUAGUUAAACUCUAGGGAAAUAAUUUCUUCCUGGUUCAUCAAAUUGUAGUUUGUAGAAUGAUCGCUCCACGAAUGGCUUCAAUUCAGAUCCUUGGUAAUUCCAGUAGCAGCAUCAAGUUGUAUCGCAUCGGAUGGAGAAAGAAGCGAAGAGUAGGAUCUUGGUUGUUGGAGCAACUGGAAAUCUGGGAAAGCUUCUAGUACGAUCGAGCGUUUCAGCCGGCCACUCCACAUUUGUUCUUGCUAGAGAUUCCGCCUUCUACGAUCGGUUUAAGGCAAAACUUCUACACUCUUUUGCUGCGGAUGGCGUCACCGUGCUCAAGGUAUGUGUUUUUUUUUAUGCGAUCCACUCGUCUGUUUAAUAUUAAGUGGUUGAGCGAUUUGUGGAUUUUGGGUUUUAGGGUUCUUUGGAAGAUCAUGGGAGUAUGAUCGAGGCGAUAAAGAUGGUAGAUGUCGUCAUCUCUGCUGUUUCUUUGAAACAGGUGUUGGAUCAGAAAUUAUUGAUUCUUGCUAUUAAAGAAGCCGGCUGCAUUAAGGUAUAUGUAUCCAUUCAGACUGAUUUAUGGUUUUCUGUUGUCAAAUUGAUAUUGAUCGGUAAUAACACUUGCUUUUUUUAAACUGGGUUAGGGAUUUUAUGGCAUCAUUAUCAUUCCUUAGUUCUCACACUGACCAAAAUCUGCAAUAGACCUUGGUUUCUGUUUAGAAUUGACACAAGUUUGAUUUAGGGUUUGUAAUUUUAAUCAACACUUCGUUAGCAGUGCACAUGAAUUCAAAGUUCGACCCAAUAGAGAUGUUAAAAAAUUUCUACAUUACUAAUUGAAUUUUCAUUUCUGGUUUUAUGGAUUUUAUGAGAUCGUCACUCUUUAUUCCCCACACUGACCAAAAUCAGUAAUGAAUCUUGGUUUCUGUUUCGAAUCGACCCAAGUUUAAUUUAGGGAUUGUAAUUUUGAUCAACAUUUCGUCAGCAGAGCAUGUGAAUCAAAAUUCGACCCAAUUAAGAUGUUCAAAUUCUUCUAUAUAACUAAUUGAGUUUUCAUUUCUGGUUUUAUGGAUUUUAUGAGAUCAUAACUCUUUAUUUUCCGCACUGACCAAAAUAAGUCAUGGAUCUUGGUUUCUGUUUAGAAUCUACAUAAGUUUGAUUUAGGGUUUGUAAUUUGAUCAACAUUUCGUCGGUAGAGCACAUGAAUUCAGAAUUCGACCCAGUAGAGAUGUUAAAAAAAAUCUACAUUACUAACUGAAUUUUCAUUUCUGGUUUUAUGGAUUUUAUGAGAUAAUCACUCUUUAUUUUCCAAAACUACCAAAAUCAGUAAUGGAUCAUGUUUUCUGUUUCGAAUCGAUGGAAGUUUGAUUUAGAAUUUGUAAGUUAGGGUUUGUUCAAAUUAUUGCACAUAGUUAACCAAGUUAUCUUUUCUGAUUCGGUAAGUAACCUCGAUUUUUUUGCAGAGAUUUAUACCUGCAGAAUUUGGAGUGGAUGCCGAUAAGGUUCAAGUGAUUGGGAUGGACUACGAGUUUUAUGAGAAGAAAAUAGAAAUCCGGCGAUUCAUUGAGAACUUAGACAUUCCUCACACUUACAUAUGUUGCAAUCUUUUCACAAGAAUUCUACUUCCGAACCUUGUGCAGCAAAACCCCUUCAAGAUAUUUGGUGAUGGGAACACUAAAGGUCAGUCUGUGACUCUAUGAGUUGUUAGGCUACCCCUGCUUCUAUUUCUAAUGAGAGGACAAAAAACUCGAUUGAUGCAGGUGUAUUUGUCGAAGAUCGUGAUGUGGCGAAUUUCACCAUAUGUACCGUCGACGAUUCGAGGAGUUUGAACAAGACCUUACAUCUGAGACCUAAUGGCAAUUUCUGUACAAUGAAUGAUAUUGUCAAUAUGUGGGAAAUCAGGAUCGGAAAGAAACUAGAGAAGGAAUAUGUAUCUGAAGACCAGCUUCUCAAAAACAUUCAAGGUAGUAUACAAAAUCCUACAACUCAGAUCAAGUGCAAUCAAUUAUCAUCUUAUUUGUGGGUGUGAAAUUUGAAUGCAGAGAUUCCGUAUCCAAAGAACAUGGAAUUGAUAUUUAUAUACUCCGCUUUUAUCAAAGGUGAUCACACAUACUUCCCAAUUGAUUCAUCUUCUGGCUUGGAAGGAACUGAAGCUUACCCCUCUGUGAAGCUUACCACUGUGCAUGAAUUCAUCAAUACCCUACCUCUGUGAUGAAAAAUGUACUCUAUCUGAGUGACUCGAAGUUGGGCAACAGGUUGAACAAUUCCCACCAUCUGCACUGGUUUCAUAUUUGCAACCAAUUGCGAAUUGUGAUAAUAAUUAUUUAAGAAUCUGCAUUUGAUUCAACCUCUUAUGAGCUCCAAGAAUUUUUCAUUAGAUGGUAGGUGGUGAUAGCUUUUAUCAAUGUUUGAGCCAUCAAAAUCGCUAUCUUCACCAUUUCGACUUGUCACCAUUAAACAUGACAAUUAUUUGUAUGAAUCUUUUCUAUGAUUAUUGAUGAUACAAGAUUGUAUACUCACCAUUUCCAUCAACUCAGGUUAAGAUUUCGCUCGCUUUACGCCAGAAUCCCCGAAAUCGAUCUCCUACGGAGCACAAGAACCAAAGGUUGAUCUCCAUCGGACAAAAAGCGACCUGCAGAAGUCGCAGAUCUUCCCUUUGACAUUGCUGAUUCCAUAAGGACAUCACCGAGACUAGCUAGGGAUGUCUUCCACAUGGGCCAUCGCCUUAGUACUCAAAUGUUUCCUAUGUCAAAUCGGCGAUGACACCAGGACAAUCAUCGAGAUCAAAGGCAUAACGUCCAGUCACCCUGGCAAUCAUAAUGACCAGAGAGCAAUCUUCACAGAGGAUCAUGCCCUUGAGAACCCUAUAAAAAGGGACUCCAACGGCAUAUCCAAGGCAUCAUUUCUUCUCCACUCCAGAGCACACUAGCAAAGAAAACGCUGAUCCUAUGCUAUAGUCGUCGAUUUUUCAUUCCAGAUCUCGUAUAUAGAUCACAUCACAAGGAACUGAAAAGGAACCCCCAAAGAGCAUUGUACAUUGAAAGGAGAGUGUUGCAUGGUGGUGAUACCAGAUCCCGUAAUUGAAUCAUAUCAUCCGUACCCAAAAAUUCAGACAAACAACCCAAUGAAAGUGGAACGAUCUGUAUAGGAAUGGGAAGAGACUUCAGAACAGGUCGACUACGGAAAGUCGAUCUGGAUAAGUCAACUCAAGAAAGUCGACCCCGAGUCAGAUCUGAGUUUGUUAGUUAGUUAGACGGUUACUCCCAACGACAGGUCCAGAAUAAUUAAAAAAAAAAUUAUAUUGAUUCAUUUAGAAGAUAAAAUGAAUAUAUAUUACAUGACGAGCCCCAAUUCAUAUUACACAAUCGGGAAUACAUUCACCAAUUCCAGUAACACUGCCACAAAUAACAUCACAACGUUUAUUUACUUUCAAUGUCUCCACGCGCGAUUGUCUUCUUUGCGCAAACGUCCCCCAUUGGUUGAUAAACUUGAUAUAAACAAACCCUAAAAAUUAUGUAUUAAACGUUGAGGUAUUAGGUUGGAUAUUUAAAGGAGAAAUAUUGAAAUAGUGAUCAGUAACGUUGAUAAACAAAUUUUGUAACACCUAAAAUUAUAUUACAGAAUUUAAAUUUAGAGAAUAUAAAUUAAGAAAAUUUCAGCGAGCUCACAUAAUAUGAGUUCAAUAGUGCUCAAUUCUGUAUGGAGAUGUGUGCAACCAAAAUAUUAAAAAAAUAUAUAAUUAAGAGACAGUUCAGAUGACUUUCCACAAUAUCCAACGACUCAGAUAAUGUGAGUGUUUUUUAGCUCACCCUAUGUUGAUCGAGCUCACUGGAAAAAAACUGUAUACAUUAAACCACUUUUGGUAAAGAGAACUUUUUACUAAUCAUCAUACAAGAAUAUGAAUAAUUCAAAAUAAUAUUUUUUUUGAUUUAUUUCAAAGUUAACGGAAGAUUAUAUCAUACUUAGGGUGUUAAGUAAUGUUCAGCUCUCAGGCUUGCGAGCCCAACGAGUCGGGCCCGAGCCUAAAGCUCAAGCUCGUUAAGUAUGUCCAAGCUCGAGCUCGGCUCGUUAAGCUCGAUAGGCUCAGUAAGAGGAGUAUAAAAAAAAUAUUAUAUUUGAAAAGAAUGAAGAUGUAGCUCAUAUGGUAAAACGCUUGCUUAACAUAUAAGAGGUUGUAGGAUCUAUAUCCCACUUUUUCAAAUUAUUUCUUUUAAGUUCAAGCCCGAGCUUGACAAUUUUUUAACGAGCUCGAACUCGAUCAAACCAGGCUCGACAAGCUCAAACUCGAGUCCGAACCUGGAUAACUCCUUAACGAGCCGAGCACGGCUCUAUAAUCAAAAGCUCGACUCGGCUCGUUUGGCACCCUAAUCAUACGUCAAUAACAAGGUAUUCUAGAUGCACCUAUUCCAAUAACAAGGUAUUUAGAUGUUGAGGUAUUUCAUCCAGAUAGCUUGGAUAUAUAUUUAAAGGAUAUGUUGGAGAUAUAUCUCGUAGGGGUGGGCGUGUGCUGGGUCCGGGUUUGGGUCGAUAUUUUCGGUCAUGAAACCCGAUGCGAACCAAACCUGAGUUUUUUUUACCUGAUUUUUUUGGGUCGGGUUCGGGUUUGAUCCGAACCAAACCUGACUCACCCGAAACCCAAAGAAAUUUAUAUAAAAAUCAUUAAAAUAUAAAUAAUUAAUAUAAUUUUAUAAAAAAAUUAAUAUACAUAAUUAUAAAUUUUUCACCUUUUAUAAACUUUAAUUAGUUAAUUUCAUAUCUUAAAAUUUAAACCUUAAUUUCAUUUCUCUCUACUUUUCCACUUUCAUUUUCCCUUUCCUCGCCGUCGUCGGCCCUCUCCUCACCGUCGCCGGACCUCUCUUUGCCGUCGCCAGACCUCUCCAUCUUCACAAACAGUAAAACAGAUAUUCUCUUCAUCUUUAUCCAUGUUGCUUUCGUUUGGUUUUUUGUAAAGUUAUUUUUUAUUGCUGGAGUUUUUGUGGUAGAGUCAAAUUAUUUAAACAACAUAGAUUUUUGUGCAAAAUAUUCAAUCAAUUUUUUAAACUUGAACCCGACAUCUAAAUCGGGUUCGGAUCCUAUUUCAAUAUUUUCUGACCUUCCCGAGUUUUGAUUCGAACCGGAUUUGAAAACUCGGGUCCGGGUCUAGGCAAACCCGAGGGAAAUCUGACCCAUGCCCAAUUCUCAUAUUUCGUACACAUUUAAUACUUUAUAAUUAAAAAAGUAGAUAAAUAAUUAAUUUAUUUAAGCAAUUUUUUAAAUUAACUCUAGAUAUUGAACAAGAAUAAAUUGAUUAAAUAAUCAAUUAUAAGUUCAUUUAAUUGAUAUGUUGGAGAUAUAAUGAUACGUUAAUAAACAAAUUAUUUUUUCUGACAUUAAAAUAAUUAUUGUGACACUUAAAACUAUAUUACAGAAUUUUAAUUUAGAGAAUAUAUAUUAAGGGCACACUUCAGGUACGCCAAAAUGCGUCAUACAAACGUAAUACAGUAACGCGUAAAACUCGAGGAUAACGUAACAUACAACGUAUUAAUGAAUACAACGUCGUUGUAUAAAGUUUAGUUGUUGAUGAAUAAUGGAUUGUCAGACAACAAAUUAGGAUCUAACGGCCAAAAACAAUUUCGACGUAUUUUGGCGCACUGAAGGCUUGGCGCACUGAAGGCUUGGCGCACCUGAAACUAGCUCUAUAUAUUAAAUUACUUUUGGUAGGGAGAAUUUUUUACUAAUCAAUCAUACAUGAAUAAGAAUAAUUUAAAAUAAAAACUUUUUUGAUUUAUUUCAUAGAUAAACUGAAUAUUACAUAAUCAGUCUUCCCAAUAACAAGGUAUUCCGCAUUCACCUGUUCCAGUAACACUGCCACAAAUAACAUCACAACGUUUCUUUAGUUUCAAUGUCUCAACGAUUGUCUUCCAGGCGCAAACAUCCAUUGCUGCUAAGAGAUAAACAAUCUGUAAAAAAAUAUUUAGAUGUUGAGGUAUUUCGUCCAGAUAGGUUGGAUGUAUAUUUAAAGGAUAUAUAUGUUGGUGAUAUAAUGAUCAGAAACGUUAAUAAACAAAUUAUUGUUUCUGAUCUUACUGAUCUCAGAAACUUUAAUAGAAUUUCUGAAGGCCAGGAUUUGAAUCUUACUUUGUACCAUUUAGAUUUUUUUUUGAAGCAAUUUCCACUUAGAUUUUUUUUGAAGCAAUUUCCACUUAGAUUUACCCGAUGAUAUAUUAUGUGGCUCUGAUAUAUAUUAUCAGAAGGUUGACAGUUCUACAUCUGUAGAGAGGUAUCCUCCGUUAUCAAAAAAAAUUUAUUGCUUCUGAUAUAAAAAUAAUUAUUGUAACACCUAAAACUAUAUUACAUAAUUUUAAUUUAGAGAAUAUACAUUUAACCAUUUUUGGUAGAGAAAACUAAAGUGAAGGGAAUUCCCCCACUAAAUGUUGAUCACAACGGUGCCAUCUCGAGGGGAGGUGAAUAUCAGUGGUUGAAAAAGGUGCAGAGAUGGCACCCUUUUAACCCUAGGUUGAGGAAUAAUGCCCAGAGACAAGUCCUUUAUUCGCAUCUUGGUGGAGGAUGUGUGUUCAUGUGGUGGGAAUUGGUUCAACUUAGAUCUUCAAUGAUUUUCAAAAACUAGCUUACCAAAUCUAAUCAUAAGUGUUGUCUGUAGAUUUCCCCCAAAAUAUCUUUAUGUACCUACAAUCUUAAAUUUAGAAUUUUCUCUUCUAAAAUUAAUGUCUAUUGAUUCUAAAAAAGGUGAGAACAAAAAAAUCUCUCAAGAGAGGAGUAGAUUAAUUAUAACCACAAUUCUUUCUCUUCCUUUAAUCCAUCUGCAUCUAUAUCAAUUUGAAAAGAGAUUUUCUUCUCUUGCUCUAGUUCUUGUUCUUGUUCUUUCUGUGAGUAAUAUAUCAUUUGUGUUUCUAUUUAUUAUUGGAAUCAAUGGAGAAUUUAUUAGGUGCUAUUCGAAUCCAAGUAUUGAAAGGAAUUGAUCUUGUUUCUAGAGAUACCCGCACUAGUGAUCCUUAUGUAGUUCUCACCAUAGGUGACCAGGUAGGGAUCUUUCUAACACAACCAAUUCUGCAAAACUACCCAAUGGAAUGAACUAAAUUUUACAUUAUACAAUAUUAUUGUCUAGCAUUUCAUGUUUCUCAGAAAGUGCAAACAAAGGUGAAGAAAGGCACUCUUAAUCCUGAAUGGAAUGAAGAACUAACCCUAACUAUUUCAGAUCCAACCAUACCUAUCACUCUUGUACGUUAUUUACAAACGUCAUAUCAUCGCCCAUCAUCUUCGAAAAAAGAAGAUGAUUUUUUUUCUUCCAAAUUAUAUAUGCAGGAGGUCUAUGACAAGGACACAGUCAGCACGGAUGACAAAAUGGGUGAUGCCGAAAUUGACAUUCAAGCACUUGUUUAUGCUGUGAGGAUGGGGCACCUGGAUGUUCCAAAUGGCACCGCGAUUCGAAGAGUACAACCAAAUAGGGAGAACCAUCUCUCUGAGGAAAGCAAUGUAUUGUGGAAUGAUGGUAGUGUUGUUCAGGAUAUGAUUCUGAGACUGGAAAAUGUGGACAAAGGUGAAAUUGAAAUUAAAAUGCAGUGGGCUGAGAUCCCAGGAGCAAAAGGUUUACAAAUAGAUUAAAAUCUAUAUUUGCAUAUAUACAUACUCGAUUAUAUUAACAAAAUAUACUGAAAAUCUUGAAAAUGAUGAUCAUGAUACAAAUUUGUCAUCUAAUUAAAGGAAUUUGACCUCCAAAAAUUGCUGAUUAAUGGUUACAUAUUUUAUUUUAAUGUUUUAUGGAUGAUAUUAGACCUAAAAUGACGUUGAGGACGUCGAUCACAUGACUGUUCUUGAGCCCUAGUUUUCAACUUUUUAUGUUAAUUAUCAUCACCCUAUCACUACAAAAAAUAACACAAUAUUGUAUGAUCGGCAAACUUUUGGUGAUGAAAUAACAAGAGCAACUUAUACGAGGACACAACACAAACUUAGACAUAACUUAUGCAAGCAUUAACACAAACCUAUAUAGAUAGAUCAGUAGCUAAAAUCCUAAUUUGCUUUAAAAUCCUAAUUUUCAGAUAGCUAGAAAACCUAACUGUCGAAUCAUUAUUGUCUUCGUCUUCUUUUGAAACAUUACUGUUCAGUUCAACCAUUUCAAUUCCAUUCAAUUGUGCUUAAAUUAGUAUCAUCAUCAACAUCUGAAAUUUCAAAUAUAGAAGUUUAAUUGUACAAUAAGAUUUUAUAAGAUUGCAACUUCUAAUUUGUUCAACCCUUUUCUUUUCUUGUAAUUAAUUUUUUGAAUUUUUCUCUCCUCCAUUUGUAUUUAAUUUUAAAAAUAUAAUAGUUUGGCAAUCUCACUGAUCAGCACAUAGGAAUAUAGGAUAUCUAUCAUUGGGUUAAAUUAACAUAGUUAGAUUUUGGGAGAACCGCAUUUAUAUAUUCAUUGAAUUAUUUAAAAUAAUGAAGAAGAAAAACAUGUUCUUGAUCAUAACACAAAGCAUAAUAAUAAUAAAAGUAGAUCUCAAGACAUUAGUAGUGGAUGCCAUGAUCGACGAUAAUCGCAAGUCUUCAUGUCUUAUUGCUUGAUUCAAUUCUAUUCCGUUUUAUAAAUUCGUGUCAUUAAUUAACAAACAUAUGGAAAAUAAGAAGAAACUGUAAAGAUGGAUUUUCUAGGUGGAAUUCGAGUUAGGGUUUUGAAAGGGAUCAAGCUUGUACGUCGAGAUAUUCGGAGCAGCGAUCCUUAUGUUGUUCUCAUCUUGAAUGAUCAGGUAGGUAAAUCUUUCGUCUCUAAAAUUAUUAAUUUAUAGUUUAAUUCGACAUAUUUGCUUUUUAGAUUUUGACGAAAAAUCUUUUUUUCUGACUAAAAUUUAACUGCAAAUACUCAAACUUAUUUACGGCUAAAAUUGCCAUCAUGGCCCUUUUUUUGUAGUGAUAUACUGAUAAUUGUACCUUUUUAUUUCCAGAAACUACGGACCACGGUCAAGAGAGGCACACUAAAUCCCGAAUGGAAUGAAGAUAUAACACUUAAAGUUAGAGAUCUAAGCACACCAAUAAAACUUGUAUGUCACAUACAUAUCAUACUUUCAUUAUAUCAUAUGAGAAAAGUUAAAUUGCGACGGUCUAUUGUAAAAUAGAUCGAGAUUGACAUAUGAUGCCUUAUUUGAUUGUAGGAGGUAUAUGAUUGGGACAGAACCAACAAUGAUGAUCCAAUGGGCGAUGCAGAGAUCGACAUAGAACCACUUAUUUUUGCAGUGCAGUUGGGUUAUCUGGAUAUUCCAAAUGGAACUGCAAUCCAAAGAGUGCAGCCAGAACCUAAAAAUUGUCUCUCCAAUGAGAGCAAUGUUGAAUGGAUGGAUGGUAUUGUGGUUCAAGAUAUGAUUCUAAGGCUUAGAAAUGUGAAAAGGGGUGAAAUUCAAAUUCAAAUUCAAUGGGUCAAUCUUCCAGGAGGAAAAGGUUUAGAUAUGAUUUAAUUCCUAAACUUGUGUUACAUAUUAUGCGAGAUCUAAAUGAAUACCCACGAUUGUGUUUUGUUUGAUUUUACAAGGGUUUGAUUUUUCCGAAAAAAUUUAUCAAUAAUUACUUAGUUAAUUCUACUUAUGAAUAAGAAAGUGGUGAUACCAGGACCCGUACUAAGAGUAUGACCUAGGAAUGGGUCCUCAGACACCCGUAGUUAGGUUGAGACACCCGUAGUUAGGUUGAGACCCCCGAAGGUUGGUGGAAGAUCGGACAUCGUAAGUGAGCCUUAGGCUCAGGCCAAGCCCAAAUCAAUUAAGUAUCCAACCCCUAAGUAUGGACUAAGAGGAGGAAUGGUAAAACCAUCUAAGAUCGAAGAAUCGACCGGAUCCUAGGCCAAUCGGUCGAUCGACUGGAAUCUGGGCCGAUAAGCCUAGUCCCAGAUUGACUUCUCCCCAGUGGUGUGAAAUGGCUCAUUUGACGUCCACAUAGUCUAUAAAUAGAGGAAGGAACUCAUUGAUAGGUUUUUCAUAUCGAUCGACUACUUCCAGAGAAAGGAGUGAAGCGUACGAUUAAAGAUCCAGAGCCUCUAGUCGAACCGACAGGUAAGGCCCCUGCAUCAAAGUCAACCGAUCGACUAAUCUGGAAUUGACCAGAUUAGCAUCGAUCGAUUAGGACACUGAUGAGGUUCCUCAUUUGAUCAGUUCUAUCUUAUUUAGGGUUUAGGGUUUUGGAAAAAUUCAUAGUUGAUAUUCUUUUAAAAAUUCCCAUAAAAUCAAUCUCAAGCAAUUACACAAUAUAACAUCACUUUAAUUUUCAAUAUCAAUGAAGAAUUCAUAUUCCAGAUUUGAGCUUCAAUUAUCAGAUCGCGCCACUAGCAACAGACUCAAACGCCACCUGAAAUGCUUCAGGAGGUUGACCGCCACUUAGAUGACGCUCCCCGUUGAUCUAUAUAUUCAGAUAACCAAAAUCAAUUUCUUGCACAAGUAUAUACAUAUGACUUGACUCAUUUUGAUUAAUUGUAUCUAUCUAGUUAUCUUACCACAAAAUACGGUACACCAGAAAUGUUUGCUGAGUAUUUCCUUAAAUCAUCGUCAACUUCCUUAACCCCCUUCAUAGGAUCAUCUAAAAGCUCUGAUGCACCCUCGAUCCCUACCUUUGCAGCUGCAUCUAAAAGAACUUGUCUGAACCAACAAUAGCCAAAAAAACGAUCAAUAUCUUGGAGAUCAUCGACGCCAAAUCAUAGUAUAAAAAUAAACUUACUUGUCGCCAAUGUAUUUUCCUUCUAUGAAGUAAUUGAUAAGCAACUCCUUAACAACUAGGUUUUGUUUAUCAUAACCUUGUUUACCUGCAAAUUGUAUGAGUCGAUGACUGUCUAAAGAAUUUCCCCUGAAAUGAAAUGAAAUGCGUAAUUUAGCAUCAAAAAAUUAAUCAAACUAAAGCUUCGAAACUAAAAGAAUAAUGAUAGUUACGUUAAUCCAUUUAGAUCAUACUCGUAUCCAAGGCUGCGAAAUAUCUGCAAGAAGAAUUAAAAUACAUUCAGCAUAACUCAGUGGAACUGGAUUCUAGUAGAUAUAUUUAUACCAGAUAAAAAAAAAUUAGCCAUCAAUCUCGAGAUAUGAGACACAGGGAGAUUAACUCAACUGAUUAUAGUAACUAUUAAGAUUUCUGAGGGUCCAUAAUUCGAGUCUAAUUCACGAAGCGUUUUCUAAUUCAGUAACAACAGAUAAAAAUGACGAAUCAAUCAAGAAAAAAAAGCACAUAAAACACCUGUCCCAUUCGUGAUUCCAUAUGUUCUGAAUUUUUAGCCCCAAAUUUUUGCUUCCAAUACACCGAUUUCUUAACUCCUUCCUUGGGAGCAGAAGUGUUGAGAAAAAAUGGAUGAUACCUAACCUGAAUUAUGAAGAUAUAUAUGUAUGUGUGUAUGGGUAAGAACAUAGAAAAUAAUAGUGGUCUGUGAAUGAAAAAAAGAACAAAAAUAGAUGUGAACCUCAAAGUCAUAUUUCUCUUUGGAUGUAUCCAUGGCCUUUUGAAGGUUGUGCCUUCCGACGAAGCACCACGGACAAACUGUGUCGAUGCUGACGUCGAUUUGAAUAAACUUUUUACCAUGUGAAGUUGCCAUUCUGGAUUUAAAAUCUGCCAAAAAUUUCAGAACAAUCUUUGGUCACAAACUCACAUGAAGAUGAUCUUGACUUAGGUAUGUGAACAAAAAUGAAAAAAAUAGCAUCAAUUUGAAGCAAAAGAUAUCUUUAUCUGCACAAUUACAUAAUCAGAGCAACAAAAUAACACCCAAAUUGAAAACUCAUAAGUGGAACUUGUAUGUAUGCAAUUAAACUAAAUUAAGAAAAAUCACAUCAUUCUGAAGCAAAAGAUGUAAUCUUUGUCUGCAUAAUUACAGAAUCAGAGCAACAAUAACACCCAAAUUGAAAACCCAAACAUAGAAGCUCUAGGUAAGCAAACUAAAUUGAAAUCUCAUCAUUCUGAAGCAAAAGAUGUGAUCUUUGUCUGCCCAAUUUCAGAAUCAGAGCAACAAAAUAACACCCAAAUUGAAAACCCACAAAUAGAAAUUGUAUGCAAUUUAAAUUGAGAAUAAUCACUUUCAAAUUGAAAACCCAAAUAGAGGGAGAGUUAUUGCAAAAGAUCGAAAAAAAGUAAAAGAAAGAAGAAGAAAACGAUAGCAAAAAAUAGACAGUAGAUCCAAACCUUCUGCAAAUUUUCAAAUCUCCAAUAAAAUAUUUUGUUUAUUUGGUUUGAUGCAUAUAAUAUAUAUAAUUGUAUAAACUGAGAAGAACCUCUGUCUCCAGAGUCAAAAAAGGUUGGCUUUUGUGUUUCUACCUCUCACACGUCUCUCUAUGAUAAGCUGUUUUCCCUCAAUUUGGGUGUAUUUUAUGGGACCUAAAAAAAGUGGUGUGAACAACUGAACAAGAAAACCUCUAAUAUCUAUAUUAAAGAUCUUCUGUUGACAGGAAGUGAGUGAGACGUGAGAGAGAGCUUAGAUCAAGUUUGAGUAGAUAGUUCUCAUGGUGAAUUUGAAUAUGAAAAGAGAGAGAUAAAUAAUAAAAAUAAAGAAAAGCAAAAGUUUCUUUUGGAUUACAAUUCUUAUCACCUGAAUUUCGCCCUAUAUAUAAAAUAGAAGCACAAGAGAAGAAUUUUAUUGGCUUCAGAGUUGUCACGUCGUAUAGUUGUGGAUAUGCGUAUUGUUUAUAAUAGAUUUAAAUUUAAAUUUAAAAACUCAACUAAAGAGGACUCGUUAUUUGUUGUAUGGGAUAGACUCCCAGAAUAACCCCUAACGGAUGUUACUUAGUAGUGGGUGCGGACCCCGAAUUGGAUAUGGCGAGAAACCUGAGGAGGGACCGAGGAGUCUGGUCGGGGUUCGUUCCUUAGGGAUGGAUCUCAGUUGGGGUGGACGGGUGGCGGUGACUACCCCACGUCUGACUAGUCGAUUUAGUUGAUCGUUGGCGAAUCCGACCCUUGCUUUCUUUCGAAGAGGAAGUGAAAGAAGAUGUCUUCACAUUCAUGUAAAUUUUAAAACACCACCUUCACAUUCUCUAUAAUGUUAUCUUUGUCCUUUUAUCAUAUUUGACAAUUUAUCGAGGGUGUUAUUGCAAAAAAGUUAUAAAUUCAGUGGUUCGGCGCCAUUCAAUUCAGUAGAGUUCAGACCAUAUCCAAAACUCCGUUUUUUAUUCAGUUUUUUUCACCUUCGCGCGAUGCUCCUUCUCCCACCUUCACCACUCUCCUCCCCUCUCCGCCAAAACCACCGUAACAUCCACCACCACAGCCACAGCUACUUCUCACAAACCACAUCGGCGGCCUUUUCUACCACGUCGAAGAUAGUCUCUCCACUCGAAACCCGCUGCCACUACGACUUCACUCCCCUCCUCAACUACCUCUCCUCCAAUCCAAAUCCCAAUGAUCCAAACCCAUCUGAGACUCCUCCCACCGAGUUAGACCCAACUGAGCUCCGGUUGGCGGAGAGGUACCGGGCGGUUCCCGCUCCACACUGGCACGUGCUUCUGAAGUCCCUCUCUUCAACCUCUACCACAUUCCCUUCCGCCGCUGCGCUCGUUCCAUGGCUCCACCGGCACAAUCUUUGUUACUCCGUAGACCUACUUUACUCCAUUCUCAUCCACGCCCUCGGAAAGUCGAACCUUCUGUACGAGGCUUUUCUUCUCUCACAUAACUCCCCUGAUCCUGUCUCGCCGCUCACCUUCAACGCCCUCAUCUCAGCCUGCGCGCGUGCCGGAGAGCUGGACAAGGCUCUUGACCUCCUCUCCCGUCUCCGGCUUCACGGGUACCAAUCCGAUUACAUCAACUACACACUGAUUGUGCAGGCCGUGAUACGGUUUAAGAAUAACCCUGAUACAGCCAUUCUUGAUAAGAUAUCCGGGGAGCUUGAGUUGGAUAGGAUUGAGAUUGAUUGUAGGCUUCUCAAUGAUUUGAUUGUAGGGUUCGCAAAAGCGCAGGAUCCCGAUAAGGCGUUGUUCUUUCUUAGUGUUCUGCAGGGGCAAGGGUUGAGUCCGAAAUCGGGCACAUUGGUGUCUCUUAUCUCGUCUCUCGGAGGGUUGAAGCGAGUCGAAGAGGCGGAAGCAUUGUUUGAGGAAUUGAGGGAUGGAGGCUUGUUGCCGAGGACCCGAGCUUACAAUGCGCUUCUUAAAGGAUAUGUGAAGGCGGGUUGCUUGAAGGAUGCGGAGAAUAUGUUUAAGGAGAUGGAGAGGAAUGGUGUAUCGCCGGACGAAAGGACUUAUAGCUUACUUGUCUCGGUUUACACGAACGAAGGACGCUGGGAGAGCGCGAUGGUUUUGCUCAAGGAGAUGGAGAAAAAUGGAAUUCAGCCCAAUUCUUAUGUCUUCAGCAGAAUGUUGGCUAGUUUUAGAGACAAGGGUGAGUGGCAGAAGUCCUUCAUUGUGUGGAAGGUGAUGAGAAGCAAUGGAGUUCGGCCCGACCGACAUUUCUACAAUGUGAUGAUCGAUACGUUUGGAAAGUACAACAUUCUUCACCAUGCAAUGGACGCAUUCGAGCACAUGAGGAUGGAUGGUAUAAUGCCUGAUACCAUCACUUGGAACACACUCAUCGACUGCCAUUGUAAGGCGGGGCACUAUGAUAAGGCAGAUGAAUUGUUUCAAGAUAUGGAGAAGGAUGGAUGUGCACCGUGCAUCACGACGUUCAAUAUCAUGAUUCAUUCAUUGGGCGAGCAACAAAAAUGGGAAGAGCUCGAUGAAUUGUUGAAUCAGAUGAGAGCUCAUGAGUUAGUACCUAAUUCCGUCACUUAUACCACACUUGUGGAUGCUUAUGGGAAAUCCGGCAAGUUUAAGGAUGCAGUUGAGAUCUUGGAGGUUAUGAAAGCUGGUGGCUUGAAACCUUCACCUUCCACAUAUCGUGCCCUGGUGAAUGCUUAUGCUCAGAAGGUAUGAACUAACUGAUCAACCACCUUAGUUGGAUGCUAACUUUCGAUUGUACGCAGGGAUUAUCCGAAGAAGCCAUGAAUGUGUUUAGGGUGAUGAGAGCCGACGGUAUUAAACCCAGUGUGUUGGUCCUCAACUCUUUGAUCAAUGCAUUUGGUGAGGAUCAAAGGGAUAAUGAAGCCUUCUCAGUACUGCAAUACAUGAAAGAAAAUGUAAGCUAUUUCAAAUUGUGCAAAUUACUUUCAGAUGACAUUUGCGACGCUUAGCAAUUUUGAGUUUUUUUUUCCAUUCCUAGAAUAUCAAACCUGACGUUGUGACGUUCACUACGCUGAUGAAAACGCUAAUACGUGUGGAAAAAUACGACAAGGUAUAAAAAUAAAUCGUACAACUCAGGAUUCAAAUGAUGAAAUUGUUCUAUAUUUGAACAGGUUCCAGAUGUGUAUGGAGAAAUGGUUGCAUCAGGUUGCAUACCUGAUAAGAAAUCUAGGGCAAUGUUGCGAUCAGCACUUCGGUAUGUUAAACAGACAUUGACAUUAUAGCUCGUCUAGACUGAAAUGCAGUUAGCAAAAUACUCCUGGGGGCAGUGGGUAUGAGUUUUUGAACUUGAAGGUAUUUUUAAUAUUGUCUGAUUGUCACCAUAUUUGCCAUUAGUAUUAUUAUGAUUAUAAAUUUUAUAUACAUUUUUUGAAUUCCAGAGCAGGUGCAAAAUUGGAUGAAUCUACUACAAUGAGAAACUGGAAACAUGAGGUGAAUGAAAUCAAGUGUCCAUAUACAGUAUACUGACUACUGAGUGAGCUUUUGGUCUGCACUUUUCAGGGAUUAAAAAAGAAGGGCCAAGAACAAAUACAAAAGUUCCAAGAUCAAAGUAUUCUGCCCAAGUGUAGUGACCAAGUCUUUUUUACAAUGAUGUAUAUUUUUAAAUUUUCAGUUUUAGGAGCUAAUUAAUUAAUUAUGGAACUUUCUUGUAAUUAUUGGGUAACAGUUCUAGUUAAUUUGUUUUAACAGUAACAGUAGUUUGCUGUAGAGCUCUGAUGCACAAUUCAAAUCUCAUUUCUACCAAAUGUAAGCUAUUCUAUUUUUUAUGACAAUGAAGAUUUUAAUCUUUUAAAAAUAGUUUUAUACUUUUGUCAGCUUUUAAAUUGGUUUUAAAUUGAAUAUGGUAUAUUGGUAUAAGAAGAUUGAAAAAAAGAAAUGAACAUUGAAGAGAUUUAAUAAACUAAUUUGUAUGCAUUAUAUUGCAUUGUAUCAUUGUAUGAAUUACAAGAAAACUGUUGGCCUUCAUAUAAAAGCAAGUUUUCAAAGAGAAUAUGAAGGAAGCAAAACUUUUAGAAUCAGUCACUAAAUUAUUGUAACAAUGAAGGAAAAUUGAAUUCAAAAAAAUUAGCAGGAGUGUAUUUGUAUCUGGUGGUUAUUUUCAGAGAUUUCGAUCUCAUUAUUGGCAUCUGGUUCUGUAUUUUCACUAUCCAAUGUAGUAAGCGAGAAAUCUCUGUGAUGACGAUGAUUGCAACGGUACUUCAUUCUCUGGUUCAUAUUACUAAGCACUUGCACAAUCUGUCGCAUUGUUGGUCGUUUUUUUGGCAAACUGUCCAGGCACCUUAAAGCAAGGGCAGCCAAUUCGUUGAGCUCGUGUGCAUCAUAAUUGCCAUCCAAGUGAGGAUCUACAAUUUCUUCCCAACCUGCUUCUUCGUUGUUCAUUGAUGCCUGCAUUGUAAAUAAAACAAAUGGUGAUUUUUUCAAGAUCCACUAAGCUAAAAAAAUUCAGCAUGUUAAAGAAAAACAAAGCAUUCAAGCCUCCUAAAAAAAUCGAUAUCUUCACUCUUCACCCAGUUAUCGAUGGAACCUGUUCAUAUGGUUAUGUAAAAAAUUGCAAAAAAGGGAACUUACAAGUUGAACAUACUCCAUGAGGCCUUGUUGGGGAUUUCUGGCAGUGAUCAAUUCAAAGAGAAGGACACCAAAACUGUAGACAUCACUUUUCUUAUUAUAUUUCUUUGUUAACAUGUAUUCUGGAUCUAGAUAGCCAUACGUUCCCCUAAUUUUCGUAACUUUUUGUUUACCCAUUUCUUCCUUUGACAGUCCAAAAUCAGAGACCUGGUUCCCAAAGUUAGAGAAAUUAAAUUAAUCAGUCAAUUAAAGAUUAAUUAUAUAAGAAAUACUGCAAUCAAUAUUAGUAUGUAAAGAUAGUAUUAUGGUCAUGAUUAGUGUCAAAAAUCAAAAUCAGAAAUUUGGCUCCAAACCAAAGUGAAUCGAAGGAGUUAAUUUAAUAAUAAGUUAGUAGCAUCAAUGGUCAUAACCCAACAGAUGCUCAGUGAUCAGCAUAGCUGAAAAUCAUGCCUUCUCACCAAUCCUUCUCUCACAAGUGUUGUCCCUCCUUACAAGAAUGAUCUCUGAUACGAGCUUUGCUAUAUGUAUCAACAAUCCUGAUCUAUUCAAUAGUCGCCUAGACGGCACCCGGCAGUAGUAUGAAAGUAUCGUGAGGUUUACGUGAAGUACACAAUCCGACUCUUGUCAGAAGUUGCUUUCACAUAAUCUGAUGAUCAAUGCAUUUGACCAUCGAGAGAUUGGUAUAUACCCAGAUAUACAAUAAUAUAAAAUCUAGAGAGAAAUGUUUUCUAGAAUCUAAGGAAUCAUUUUAUUGACUUAUUAUACUCUGUACUUUCUUAAUUUAUGCAAAAAAAUUGGUGUUCCUCAGACAGAGCACCAUUGAAGCUACAGUAAAUCCUUGGUGUAUUUGCUCCUUGAUUCUGUUUUGCAAGAUCUAUCAUGAGUCAUGACUAAGAACCCGUACCAAGGUCAAUGGGAGUUUGGUUUCAAGGAAGGUAAAAAAAAGCCCACAUAUGGUGAAGGUUAUACUUUUCCAUAUUCAAAUGGCUCUCAUCAUAUCCAAUAUAAACCAUAUUUAAUAAACCGAUAAAAUAUAAAGAAAAGAAUAACAUCAACAAACUGAACAAAUGUAAGCGAAAAUAUUCAAAAGAUCAUGCAAUGGAAGAAAAGAAAAAGCAAAAGAAUACACAAGAUUUUAAGAAAAAAGACGAACUCUAGCUCCCAUAGAGUCGUCAAGCAAUAUAUUGGACGAUUUAAUGUCACGGUGCACAACAGGGGGAUUAGCCUGUUAGAAAAAGAGAAAAUCGGAAAAAUCUCAAAUUACAGAAUGAAAUGUAAAAUCAUAAAGAAAUAGGAUCCAAAUGAUCAUGUAAAUUAAAAAAUAACAUAAGAAACUUACACCAUCAUGAAGAUAUUCCAUGCCCUUUGCAACAUCUAGAGCGAUACAAAUCCUCAUAUUCCAAACCAAAGGUUUACAGUCAUCUAUUAUAUCAAUCAAUAGUCAACAAAUAGUAGCGAACAUUGUUACCAAAUUGGAAAAAAAGGAGAGAGAAAAGAUCCAGUUUGUAUUUGAAACGGAUUGGUAUCUGAGAAAUGACUACCAAGUGUAAGAAUGUCUUUCUAGAAAAUAUUUGUAGCUAGAUAUAUACCAAAUAAUUUUUCAAAAAAAGCAAUUAAAUCAAAAUCUCAGUUUGUUAAGCAUGUACAAAAGAAUACUUACUAUAUAAAUGAGAAGCAAGACUUCCAUUAGACAUAUAAGCAUAUACAAGCAUUUUCUUUCCUUUCUCUGCACAAUAGCCCAUCAAAUUCACUAGAUUUCUAUGAUGCAAUCUUCCAAGAAGCAUAACCUUAAAAAGAAAAGGAUAUUUAAUGAAGAAAGGUGAUACAUGUAAACACCAGUAUUAAUCACGUGAAACAUAAAAAUGAGAUAUUCGUACUUGGAUAUAGAAUAAAGAAUACCAUUAAAUAACAAGCAUACAAGGCAAUCGAAACAGAAUGGAGAAUGGAACAGAGUAAAGAAAACUCAGGUUUGAGGUGUGCAUGAUCCACUAAAACGUAAAAUAGGACUAAAAUCGUGAUUUCUAUUUUUGAGAAAUCUCGAUUUUAGGGUUUCUUUUAACAAGCUCUCUCCGGCCACCCUGUUCUCCCUCACUGAGCUCCCUCUAUUCGACAAACUACUCUACUUUGAGUAUUUUGUAGACUUUGCUACUCUAGACACAAAAAUACUAAUCUGUCCUGCAUGUAUUAAUUACUUAAUGAUGGCAUGUAUUAAUGAUGUCAUGAUUUUUCGAUUAACAGAAUUAAAUAAAUGUACUCAAUAUAUGCCGGUGUAUUUAGCCCACCAAUCAUCCUAGUAUCACCCCAUAAGACGAUACGAGUAGCUGGUGCAUCGCUUAUCAGGUAUCGUAAACCUUGCAUUGCAGAGAUAACUUCAAGAUCCAUUCAAUUUUUAGAAAACCAAGGUGAAAAACUAUCCAAAAUAAUUAUUUCGCUAAGGUAUUCCUAUGCUGAUUUCAGAAAAAGUUUGGCGCUUUCUAGCUCCAAUUUAAAUUUAGAGCUAUUUAUGUAUUCAGAAAUUAUUUCCAAUGAACACUCUUCAAAAUCCUUACAUGAUGAUUUUUCAUUCAAAAGGCCUAUAGUGAUUCUUCAGAACUCAUUACUCCGUCAACUUUUGACCACUGAUGCAUUUUCAAUCACUUUUAUGUCGCUUGCCCCUAGACCCCGUCAACUAAAGGACUAAAAAAUAACUUCUAAAGUACAGAUUUGAUCUCAUGUCAUAGCAAUCUACAUAGGAUAGUUUGCGUAAAAUCCAGAACAUGUGUUUUCGGUUUUCCCCAAAUAUUUUGUGAAAUCUGAACUUUAUCUUUUUGUAGUCAUAUUUAAUGAUGGACCCACCAAUUAUUUUGAGUUCAUGGAUUCAAUGAUAAUACACAAAUCGAAUUUACCUAGUGAUAUGAUUUUUACCCUUUGGCACGCUCAAGACUCUUUGAGUUUUUAAGCACAGCCUAAAACAAGGAAGAGUGCGGCGACCAUUGUUUCCAGACAGAGAAGAAAAAGCUCGCUGGCUAACCUAAACUUCACGCACAACGAUAGAGCCAUAGAUGCGAUCAAUAUCGCAGAAAACUAUCAGGUCACCUGAAGUUGAAUGGAAAAGAGAAGUUUCCGACAGCAGAGAAUCGAAGAUGUGAACAACCAUUCCAUCAGGUCACGCGAAGUAGGAUGGAAAAGAGAAGUUUCCGACAGUGAACAACUGAAGAUGUGAGCAGAAACCAUUGGAGGAAAUUCUGUCUAGGUUUAGGAUAGAACUAAUAGAGGGAGCAUCUAAUAAAAUCAAUAAAUUGAAAACUGUAUUUGGAUCUUCCAUAUAAGAACUAAUCUCACUCUACAAACUUCAAAAAAACUUCAUGAAUACUCAUCCGACGAGUUCAGCAUGGUAAGAAUCAUUAAAACAUUAAUACCAAAUAUAACAAUUUCCAUAAAAAUCUUCUGCUGAAGAUAGAAAAACAAUAGAUUUGUUACUUUAUACACUUAUUUAAUCAUUCAAAGUUACCUCUGUUUGAAACUCUUGUUCCCCUUGUUUUGAACCUUCCGAAAGCUCUUUAACGGCAAAUCUUUCACCUGACGGAAAUGCAGCAUCGUAAACUUUCCCAAAAGCUCCUUCCCCUAUGAUUGUUGUAAAAUUUCCAGUUGCCUUCUUCAAAUCUCUGCCAUGUGUUAAAAUUGAAACAACAUCAUGAAUAGAUUCAAUAAAACAUGCAAGUACAAAAUAAAGUCGCUUUAAAGCAAAGAAAAAUUAAUGUUAAAUACAGAGACAAACACACAUGGUAUAUAUUUAUAACUCCAACACCAACAAAUAAUCACUUAUUUCCCUCGAUUACGCAGAUCAUUUAGGAAAGUAUUUAGCAAAAAAUCGGCAUAAUAUAUAUCAACAGAUCAAUUGAAAAUGGAUAAAGAUGAUGAUGAUGAUGAUUGUACUUGUAAGAAUACUUGAGCACUCCAGAGAAGGAAACCAAAUCCUUCUUCCUCUUGAUAAUAUCAGAUAAAGCAUUAGGACUUCCCUGAGCUGAAGUAGAAUCUGAAAGCACGCUAGAGGAAUCAACGACAUUAUUGCGAAAAGGAAGUCCCGACUGCGUCCGUGCAUUCCUUCUCUUCCUGUUACUCUGCGAGUACAAGAAAUACAAGCAAAAAAAUACAGCUCCGGCAGCCAGAAGCGAUCCAAUCACAAAACCCACUGAUAAUCCAAUGAUCAGACCCACAGAGCUCUUCAUGUGUUGACUGACUUCAAGGAAACCUACAGAAGAAGCAAAGUUCCUGCAGCAUAAGAAAUAAUGAUGCUGCCGCCAUGUUAUGUUUUCUUCAACAAACCACUUUACUGAAAACAGCAAGAAUAAAGCUGAAACCAAAUUUUUUUUUUUUAAACAAAAAACCCAAAAUCAAGAUUCAAUAAUCAAAAACCCUGAAGCAAAACAUCGAUACGGAAAAACCCAGAAACAAAAUCAUUAACAAAAACAGUAGAAAAAGACGAAGAAGAAGAAGAAGAAGAAAAGCAAAACAAAGACUAAAAAGUGAUCGAUCACGAUCAUCAUGUAUGUAAAAAUGUUUCAGCAAAAUAAAACCUGAGAGGUCCGGAAUAGUGUGCACCACUACCAAACACCACCAACGUCUAGAUGGGUCUCUCCUGUUCUGUUUCCGCGUCAAUAGAAAAGAAGAACAUAGGUGAUUUCGACAACAACAAAAUAAGAAAUCUGAUUUGGGGGACCUUCACUGUUGAAGUGCAGGCUGUCUUAUCUGGCAAACAUUGAAUUCUAUUCUAUUAAUGAAUUAAAUAAUCAAAAUUGUAAUGUCAAUUGUCAACCUUUAUUAUUCAAUUGCUAUCAAAUUGCCAUUUCACACAUCUGUGUUUUUUUUACUUCAUUUAUCUAUUUUACUUCAUGACUCAUGAGUUCAAUCUUAAUGACUUCAUUAAUUACAUCUUAUGUAAUUUUUCAUAUAUCAAUUUUAUUUAAAGCCAAGUGAGAAUUUUCAUGUUGUCUUUUUAUGUACUUUAAUUAAAUUUUCGCUAUGAUAUAAUCAGUAGUGAUAAAACAUUUUUACACCUUAUAAAAAAGAUAAAAACAUGUUUUUUUUUAGAUUAAAUGGUUGACCCAUGUGUUUUUGAAAGAAGAAAAAAAACUCAUUUUAUUUUAAUCCUAAUAAUCUAUUGUCCAAUUGCCUACUACCAUUUUUAUAAUCAUCCUUAAUCAUUUAUUUCAUGUAUAUUUUGUUGGGUCUCAUAAUUUAUGCAAUGAUAGUGACAUAGUGGUCGAAGUGUUCAAGCACAACAUUACUUUUUUAAGUCUUAUAUCUGGAAAACAUCUUAUGGAUAGGGUUGUUUUGGUAGAUUUGAAAAAGCGAAAGUCGACGCAAUGGUAUGCUUGUUCUGGUGAAGUGAGUUAAACAACUCUAAAACAGACUUUGUAUGACGAACUAUUGGUGAAGAAUUUCCACUACUAUCUUUUAUAACGAACGAUAUAUUUUUUAAAGAUGUAAAGAUGUGUUCUUCGAAUGAUAUACCAAAAUUAAAUAAUAUAUUACAUAUAGUGAUAGAGUUUAGAUUUUAAAAAAAAGUGAUUUAAAAAAAAAAAAAUGUAUAUUGAAUUUUUAUAAGAUGUUUUAUAUAAAAUAAAAUUUAUAUUAAAAAAAAAUUAUAAAUUUUUUCAAAUUUCGGAUUAGUAGUGAAAAAAAAUUCAAAUUCGGAUCUUUCAUAUCAUGUUUUAUAAUCGAAAAUAUCCACCCAAAACCAACCCACACCACUCCGACCUGAUCCAGUAAAAUUAUAAUAUUAAUCUACAGUUUUAUUUAUUUUAACAUCAAAAUAUAAAAAGUCAAAUGAUUUUAAUUUAAAUCAUGCGUAAUUGAAAACAAAUGCCAAAGGUAGUACUGCAGAUGAAAUGCUCAAUCGGGCCGUUCCUUUACUUAUUCAAUUCAUGGUCGUCCAUCCGUUCUCCCGAAUUUCAUCAGAAUAGUGUCAGAACGUCAUACCAUUACUUAGGUUCAUGUCGUCCGUCUGUCUAUACUGUAUGGUGUUAGAAACAGCGAAUACAUUCAAUGAGGGUGGUACCCAAUGGAUUUUCAGAUUUUGAAAUAGAUAAAAGAUGAUGAUAGAACGACUUUUGAUUAGAGCAAAAUAACAUCGUUCCAAACGUGAGGUAUGAUGGCAGAACAUAUGGGUGUAAUUAAUUUCGGGAAUUUAGACGCAUGGAUCUCUGCAGUCAAAUAUAUUAAUAUGCACCAUAGGGGUAGCCGACAUGUGGAUGAGCGUCGAUUACAUCCCCCGACAAAUUGCAUUGCGAUUCAUCAUGGUGGUCGUCGAUCCGUUGAUCGACCAUUGAAGUUUUAAGUGCAGACAAUUGCAUUUGAAAGGAAAAUUGUAUAGAUGAUUUUUGAUUGAAUAAUAUUUUAAUAAUGUAUGCUGAAAAAAAAAUCAUUUCUACUGUUGAAUAAUAUAAUAAUUUUGAAGAGAAUUUUUUUUUUAAAUUUGUAUGAUAAAAAGUAAUAAAUCCAUUUAAGGUGAAUGUUUGUCACUUUUUUGAUUAUGUUAACAUACUAAACAAAACGUUAUUGGAAACAUCAUCGAUUCGCACUUGGAUAAUUUAAAAAGACCAAUCAUCAAAACAAUCCAUUUACAAUUGAAUUGGUCGAACUUUAAAACAGGACCACUUAUAAACACAUUAAAACAAGGUAGAAUAUUUUCUUUAUAAAAAAUAAUAAAACUUCCGUUGCCGGGACUUGAACCCGGGUCUCUCGGGUGAGAGCCGAGUAUCCUAACCAACUAGACUACAACGGACUGAUAUUUCUUUCUUAUAUUACUUAAAAAAAUUAAAUCUGAAAAGAAAAAAAAGAAAUUGAUAUAAAUAUCAUUCAGCUAAAAAAAAUGAUCAAACGAAAAAAGAUACAUACAUUAUAAAUUUUUAAAAAACGAUUACCAAUUAAAUACCUAUACUAAAAACAAUAAAAUAAUACAACAGUUCAAUUUUAAAAUAUUCAAUCCAAAAUAUAAUUUCUUAUCACACACACAGUAACAAAAUGACAUUCUUGGUAAUUAUUUUUUUUCAAUGAUCAAUAAGAAAUUUCUAUAAUCAAGAAAAAUAAAGAUACCAUAUUAUAAACAAAUUAAAUUAAAAUAAGAAUACACGUAAGAUGUAACAAACAAUUCCACCAAUUGGAUUUUAAAACAUGCUUUAGGAUUACGCUCAUCUGUUAAUGCAUCUCCACAAUUAUCUGACUGCCGCUGACUGAAUAGCUUUAUAUACACACAUCGUUUAAUAAAAGAAAAAGAAGAGAAAUCUUUUCAGAUUACCAGAAUUUUUCCCAUAAAACAUAAUACAAAUGCAAUCGUAACAAAAUACAAAACAAAACAAUCUAUAUUUGAGACCAAAAAAAAACAGAAAAACAGAGAAAUAUAACAUCAAAACAAUCUAAGACGAACAAAAAUCCAACAGAAAACAUUCUCUCAGACAAAUACCUCAAUUUACAUCACAUUUGUAUGAAUGGAAUUUCUCAGAUUCGUCAUCUAAUCUUAUCAUCAGUGAGAAAACAUAAUACAAAAACACAUAAUACAGAGAAACACCGGAUCAAAACAAUCUAGAACGAACAAAAAUCCAACAGAAAACAUUUUCUCUCAGACAAAUGCCUCAAUUUACAUCACAUUUGUAUGAAUGGAAUUUCUCAGAUUCGUCAUCUAAUUUUAUCAUCACUGAGAAAAUAUAAUACUAAAACACAUAAUAAAUAGAAACACCGGAUCAAAAUAAUCUAGAACAAACAAAAAUCGAACAGAAAACAUUUUCUCUCAGGCAAAUGCCUCAAUUUACAUCACAUUUGUAUGAAUGGAAUUUCUCAGAUUCGUCAUCUAAUCUUAUCAUAACUGAGAAAACAUAAUACAAAAACACAUAAUACAGAGAAACACCGGAUCAAAAUAAUCUAGAACGAACAAAAAUCGAACAGAAAACAUUCUCUCAGACAAAUGCCUCAAUUUACAUCAUAUUUGUAUGAAUGGAAUUUCUCAGAUUCGUCAUCUAAUCUUAUCAUCAGUGAGAAAACAAAUAACUAAGCAAUCUACAAAAAACCAGAUUCAAAUGAUGGAAGCAAGACAAAAUCAAAUACGAUCAGAGAAGCAACGACAGAUGCAGCAUUUGGGAAAAAGAAACUAACGAAACCCUAGAUUUGAUUCUACUGAGAAACCCUUGAACGAAGCAGAUUAUUUAUAGGCGAUGGUUUUGUCGGAAAUGGCACCCAGUUCGGCCCGUUAGGCGCCGCGGCCUUAAAAGGAAAACACAAACGGUCAAAUUUUGAAAAAAAAUGGUAAAUUUCUAAAAAGAACCCUAGAAAAAUUUAAUUUAUGUUUUUUUUACUCUUAUCAUCAUCACUAGAAUCUGUUUCAUUGUCGUUUUCAAUAUGACAUCAACGUCAAUUGUUCUCCAUCCACCUCUUUCUCUCCGAUCUCCAUUCCACUAUCGGCGCCACAUCAGCUGCCACUCCGGCAAAACCGGCACAUCCACUCCAAUGCCGGUCGCCGCGAGUUGGUUCAGCAAGGCAUUAGGGCAGAGACUUAACACUGCAGGUGUGUUAUGGUCGUUGAAAGUCGCAACUAAACAACCCCAACUCCUGAUCCCUCACGUUUCCGUUGCUGAUAUUCGGUCGAUUGAAUGGGAUGUAUUGGAGAAGGCCGGAUUCCGUGGAGUUGUUUUUGACAAAGAUAAUACCAUCACGGCGCCUUAUUCACUUGCGUUGUGGCCGCUGUUGGAGUCUUCUUUCAAGAAAUGUUGCGAUGCGUUUCCUGGAAAGGUUGCUGUUCUUAGCAAUUCUGCUGGUAUGGAUUAUUAUGGAUGUGGUUCGGAUCGAUCCAUCCAUUUCGUGUUAAAUUCUCUGACUCCUCACCUUUUUUUUGUCCAGGUUUGAAUGAGUAUGAUCCUGAUGGCUCCCAUGCCAGAACUAUCGAGGAAUCAAUUCAAGGUGUUCAUGUGAUCAGGCAUGGUAAUUCCGACUGUUAUUAUUUUAAACCCUAAAUCCUUAACAUGAAUGAUUUUGAAAUUUGAAUCGAUACUUGGUGAAAGAAGGAAUUGUUAAGUAUAUACUACCCCAGUAUUGUUCCGUGUAUUCUCUUUAGGGCAUGUUUGCAUCAAGAACUACUAAAUUUUUGUAUUACGCUAUAAGUUCUUUACCACUCAUUCCCAAAAACACUGCUUCUUAGCAUUCCCAUCAAGUAAUAGUUAGAAUAUGGGGUGACCAUUUAAGGAAAGAAGAUAUCUAGAAAAUCAAGAAUAGAACUUAUUUUGAGUAUUUUGAACAAAUUAUAAAUCUUUGUUUAUUUGUGCUUUGUAUGAAUUCAAAAACUUGUGAGAUAGAUAUUUUAGUCUUUUAUAUGAAUUCAUUCUAUAUUUCUUGAACGAACCAUGUUUUAUUUACUUAAUAGAAUUGGUCUUUUGGAUCCGUUUAUGGAACGGUACAUGUUCCGUGCGGUACAUGUGACGGACACACAUCCGGCCGUCCAUUAACCUAGGUGAAGCUCCACCGUCAUCGCCCAUGUCAGGAAAUUCAGGAAAUGGGUGUCGUCAUCCCAUGCCGUGGAGUGCUCAACCAUACCGUCCACUGAUAUCAACUUUAUCGCGAUGACGGAAUCUCAGGAACGACAUCGUUCCACGGAACUCACGGCACCAACCUUCAGAGCUCCAAUCCAGGAACCGCGAGUUCCGUGAUCGCCGAAUUCAGUUCCGUCGUCACGUUUUGAAAUUUUGUGGAACAACAACACUCAACUUAAUUCCCUCGGUCGUAAGCACGAUCCAUGAGGCAGAGGUGGAGAUGGUGGGCGAGGAGGAGCAAAUCUCCACCACCCCCUUCUUCUGCCAUGUAUACUCCAAGUAAAUGGUUUGCAGAAUUUGACAUAGCCAGAGAUCGGAUAACAUCUGUUGAAACCGUCAAGCACGAAUUCUUGACAUGGAUCGAUCAAAAUUGCAAACCGAACAGUGACGAUGAAUAAUUUGACAGAUGAGGAGACGAUACGGGUGGUGGUUUGUUUGGUAAGAGGAAUGGAUCAGGGGAAUAAUAGAGAUAAAUCUUAUUAUUAUUGAAUUGAAAAGUGUGUUUUAAUUUGUGUGGGAAACAUUGUAAUCUCAUAGGGCAUCCGGUAGAACAGGUAAUGAUCGGACUAACUCUGACAAGGAAAAAUCUGGGUGACACUGAGAUCGUCCAACAUUGGACCUCUACGUGUCGUCCAAGGAAAAAUCUUCGGAACCGCGACUGAAUUCUGACAAGGAAAAAUCUGAGUGACACUUAGAUCGUCCAAGGAGGAGACGACAUGUGUUCAUGACCCUAUACGAUUCAUCUUGCAUUUUCACCGGCGAUGGUUCCCAAAGAUCACGGAAUCGCGAGUUCUGUGCGAUUGAUUUCGUGAUCAUGGAAUCGCAAAAUCCGGUUCCUCCAUCUACUUGUGAGACAUUCGCUGUGUUGUUCUGUACCAAAGGUGCGAUUCCGUCAACACGAUGGCGAUUGUGUUACUAAUUGUGAGACUACCGGAAAUCACGCACCGUGUUACUAAUCGCGAUUCCGUCAACACGAUGGCGAUUGUGUUACUAAUUGUGAGACUACCGGAAAUCACGCACCGUGUUACUAAUCGCGAUUCCGCGAUGUCCGUCGUCCUGAUUCCGCAAUGUCUGUCGUCCUGACUCUCCUGAUGUCCGAUGUUCAGUCGCGGUUCCGAAGAUGAUCGUCCUCUCGACGACGACCCAUACAAUGUUCAGUCCUCUGUACUUGACAACCCAUACCUCUACUUCUAGACAGACGCGUAGCCAAGGGGAUUCGAGUCAUGACGUGCGCAGACGACAAUUCAGUUAUGGGAACCGCAUGAAAAUCAUUCCACGUCCGUCCGAUUGCACGUUGUGGACAUCGGGAACAUGUACCGCACGGCGAUCGCCGGAUGGACGUGUCGUUCCUGAUAUUUUCUCUUGGGCUUUUUAGAGACAAUAACCAUAAAGACACUCUAGCUGAAAGAAUCUGGGCCAACAAACCCACAAAAUUCUCUAUACUUCUAUGGAGAAUAAAAUGGGGACGCUUAAAUACCUUUACCAGGCUAAAUGGAUGGGGCAUGCCCAUCCUACCCAUCUGCCUAUUAUGCAACUUAGAAUAUGAAACCAGAGGACACCUUUUCUUCAACUGCAGCUACUCUAGAGCCAUCCUUCUACUCCUAGUUGAAAAAUUAAACAAUAUUAUCUGAAAAAUCACAAACAUCCCCACACCCACCACCACAUACCCAAACAUCAAAAUAGGAAAUCUAAUUGAGGCAUGUCAAAAGCUAACACAUCACUCUCAAAUUUGGGGCCUAUUAUGGAAUAUGAUUGGAGCCUUGAGUUGGCUUAUAUGGGCUGAAAGAAAAGAAGAUGGCAGCAACAUUCUCUCAGACCACCAGAAACUGUUCUUCAGGAGGUUUUGAAUGACAUCAACAACUCCUUUAGGCCAGAGAGCUUCAAGAAGAGUUGUUGUCACCCUUUGGGACCUAGCACGAUACAGAUAUGGGAGACCAACCUCCGGAGGCAGAUAGUCUAGCUUCUAUACUAGGCAAUAUGGCUGUGUGGAAAGUGUCAAAAUGAGACUUGCUCUCAUUUUCAUAUUUAUAUCUAUAUUUUAUUGCUAGUUUUCAUUGUAUCAGGGCAACGCCCCUCAUUUUUAUAAAUGAAAAAUUUAACUGCUUCAAAAAAAAAAUUGGGCUUUUUAAAAUACUAUAUAUAUUAUUGAUUUCCUCAACUGUGUUUAAUCAUGAUAUUUAUAUCUUGUCAAAUAGUUCUUGAAUGGGUUUUUUAAUCUUAAGUUAACAAAAUCACAAGUUUUUCAGAUUUUUUCUAGAAAUCAGUCCUAUGUAAAUUUACCAGAAAUCUGAUUUGUUGAGAAAUCUGAUUUGUUGAAAAUCUAUGUUUGAAAAGUCCUCAGAAGAAUAAGCUACUAGUCUUUGUUUAUUCAUUAUGAUUUGCAAUUUAUGUAAACUUCAGAGACAAAGAAACCUGCCGGUAGUGCUGAAGAGAUAGAAGAAUAUUUUAACUGUCCUGCAUCAAAUAUUGUAAUGGUAUUGACCCAUACAUUGAUCUUAUUUUCUUUAUUUUUUAAAAUUCAUUAUCAUUGUUUUGUCAUUAUUCUAGGUUGGUGAUCGCUACUUCACUGAUAUUGUUUAUGGGAACCGCAAUGGUUUUCUUACAAUUGUAACACAGCCUUUGAGUAUGAUUGGAGAACCUUUUGUGGUUCAACAGGUACCAAUUAAUUCUUCGUCAUUUGAUUUUUUUAUCAGAUUGUAUGAAAAAUUGGACUAUAAUCAUACUUUAGGUAAAUAAUUUAUUUGAUUUUAGCCAUUGUAUUAACUAUUCAGCAUUCACAGAAGUUUCUAUAGGAUUGACACUAAUGGACACUAGUAACUAGUGUACAGUAUACUGUAUACUACUGUUCUAGAUGUUAGGAAUUCAGAUGAUUUGUGUAUCUGAAGACAAUAUAAAUCAAAUACUGCAUAAAAUAUAUUCAAAAUGAUUAGAAUAAAAGUAAUUUCAAAAUGAUUAGAAUAAAAUAUAUUCAAUAUAAUUGCUAGUUUUCAUUGUAUCAGGGCAACACCCCUCAUUUUUAUAAAUGAAAAAUUUAACUGCUUCAAAAAAAAAAGUAAUUUCAAAUAAUUAUAAAAAAUGGUGAACCAUGAAGCGGUGAAUGAUAUAAAAAUAAUAAAACGGAUGGAUAAACUUCAGCCUCAAAUGGAUUAUUUAAAUUCAUCCUUUUCUUGACCGUUGACAGGCUAUCCUUUUUUGUCACCGACUCAAAAUUCGAUCAGUGACAAAAAUGGAUGAACCAAAUAAGGAUAGGUCAUGUUUGGAUGUUUGUAUUAUGAUUUAUGCACAUAUAUACACAAAUAUAGAGGUGAUUCAUAAAAAAAAAAUAGAGGUGAUUCAUGACAUAUCGUUUUUUCUUUAAUCUUUUACCAUUUCUUGUAGAUAUAUUACUUGUUUCCCUGUUCAGUUAAUUUUAGUUGAUCUUCCUAUAAAUUCCUGGGAAUUAUAUGAAAACAGAGUACUCAUUGAUGUAUAUUCCUUAUAUAUCUAUUACAAUUGUUCUGUAAAAUACAUAACCUUAUCUAAGAUAAGGUUUAUCUUUUCCUUCAGGUAGAAGUUACCUUAGUAUGUAAGUUAUCUAAUGGAUAUCUAUCCAAUAGAUUUUUACUAUGGAUCUAAUACCGUGUAUUAGCCCAUAUUUUAUAUAAGUAGGAAAUUAUAUUAAUGAUUUAUUUAUUGUCAUAAAUACACCCUCUCAAAAUCACCUAUUCUCAUGGGUGAUUUUGGUUUUAGAUUAACAAGAUUGACGCUUUUAUGAAGAUUGACUGUGUAUCAAGCUUUUUCAUGCGAUCAUGCGCUAGAGCGGGUACCGGAUCCGCCUAACCCAAAAGCCCAUUUACCCUAACCCUAAAAUAAUAAAAGUCUGUCUAUCUAUUGGGAAAACCCAUUUAAUCGCGAUCUCUAUCAGAGCAGUAACCCUCCGUGGGAAAAUGCGAGCAACGCGAGCAGUAACCUUUACUUGUCAGUAUUCAGUAACUCUCACCCUCUGCCCCCUUUUGUUCUUCUUUCUCGUUCUUCUAUAAUGUGAUAUUUUAUUAAUAGGUACUAUAAUGAAAUAUUUUAUUAAUAGGUACUAUAAUGUUUUUUUUUUUUUUUUUUUUUGAAAAAUUAAAAACUUUUAUCACUGAAAAGAGGUUGGGCAUAGCCCAAGAUUACAGAAUAUAGGGAAAUGCAAGUACAUUAAAUGUAAAAACAUUGUCUUGUCUAUCUCUUAUACAGCUAUGACCCUGGCUAACUGGCCAAGGACUGAAGCCUCAAGAGGUUGGACUCCCAUGAGCAUAUAGCUUGUAUUUCAAUCUGUGAAAGAUUGUGCUUCUUAUAGGAUGUAGAAUCAUAUGCAAUGCUCACAUCCUUUAUAAUUUUUCUGCUGACAAUUUCUGGGGCCCUUAGUGUGUGUUGUUUUCAUACUUUUAAAAGCGGUAAAGCGCUCCCAUUUUCCAGGGAGCGCUUUAGCGCGCUGAAAGCUAAAAAAGCGCCAGUGGCAUUUUCGUAAAUAUAUACAAUUUUUUCGAAAAUUGCAUAUAUACCCCUGUAUAUGAUUUUUUUUCAAAACCUGUAAAUAUAUAAUAGAACAGAACAUAUAUAAACCUGUAAAUAUUCAAGUCAUAAUCUAAAAAAUACACAUCUAAAAAAAAUAGGUUGGCCGGCCAGUUUUGGCUGAAAUCCGGCAAACCUAUUAUUAAUGAAACAGUAAAAAGUAUAUGGGAAAUGGGGGAGAUCAAAUGAUCGAUCCCUCCUAAAAUGUCAUUAAUGAAUAUAUAUACAAUUAGAAGGGAUUAGAUCUUAACAGAAUUGUAAUAACAGAUUCUGUUGAGAUUUAUCCAUUAGAAUGUUAUAGAAUUAGGAAUUAAACUACUUAGCUAGCUAAUUAUAUUAGUAAGAGUAAUCAAGGUUUAAAAACCGGUUAACCGGUAACCAGUUCUGGCUUACCGGUUUUCCAGUUAGACCGGUUAACCACUGGUUAACCGGUUGGGGUAUUUUCGUAUUUUUUUUCAAAACAGAAAUUCUGUUAUAUACUUAUAUAUCUAUUCCAUGUUUAUAUCCCUGUUUAUAUAAAUAAAAAUAUCAUAAACAAUAUAGUAAUUCAAAAUAGUCAUUCAAAAUAGUAAUUCAAAAUAGUAAUUCAAAUAAGUAAUUCAAAUAAGUAAUUCCAUAAUGUAAUUCAAAAUAUCCUAAGCCUAAGAUAUCUAGGUAUCUAGAUAUCAUCAUUUUCUACGUUUUGAGCCCUCCUCGUGUAGGCUCCAAGUCUUUCAUGUAUUACCAUAGCCUCCUCUACUGUAGCCCAAGUGAGUCCAUCAUCUGUGUACACAAACUCAUUUGAUGCUCCUUCAAUUCCAGUCAUCCAUUCACUAGAGAAGUUCAAUUCUUCAAGGCAUAUGGGAUCAUAUUUGAUUGCACCUUCCUCUUCAAGUAGUUUAGCCCUUUCACUUCUUUCAUGGAGUUUUGCGUUGUAAUUUACGAACACUAGAUCAUUGAGUCGAUUCGCCUCAAGCCUAUUUCUUUUUUUUGUAUGAACCUACAAAAAAAUGAAAUGGAGAAAAUUAUAAAAGAAAGUACUCCAUUCAAUCAUUUAGUGACUCACACAAUUGAUUAUUUAAGUGACUCACAAAUUCGAAUGUACUCCAAUUGCGCUCGCAGCUAGAGACAGAGGCACACAAUCCAAGUAUUCUCAUAGCUAUAGUUUUCAACUCGGGUGUAGAAACCCCAAUGGUAUCCCACCAUGUUACUAAAAAAAAUUCAGACCUUGAAUGUCAUUAAAAAUUCAUAAUUUGAAUUCAUACUCUAAAAUUCAUAAGAAUUUCAGUAUUCUUACCUGGAUCUAUAAACCUCGAUGAUUUCAUAGCCACGACAUUUCCAAACCUUCCAUGUUUGUUUUUGUAGAGGGCUGAACCAAACACAAUUUUAGUUCGAAGAUCCACAUCGUCAAUCAUUCUUUCCAUACAAUCCUCAAAAGCUUCCUCACAAGCAUUGGCAUCCGGAUCAAGCGAGCUAAAAAAAAUUUAGAAUUUUAGAGUGAUGAAAUUAAAGUAAUGUUAUUUAAUUUCAUUAGUACCUUCUUAGCUCAUAAAAUGAUUUUGGAUUCAGAAAUGCACCCGCUUUAAAAAAAGGACUUUGGAAAUGUUUAUCCCAUCUUCUUUCCAUGAUCUCCCAUAUUGGCUUGUAGUCUUCUUUGCCAUUUUGAAACCCAUGUACACAUAACCCAUGACAGGUUUUCUUUCUGCAUCUACCAACCUAAGCAAUUCCACAAGUGGUUUUGUAGCUCGACAAAAAUCCUCAAGUGCCUCCCAAAAUAUAGAGUUGAUCAUCAAUCUUUGGACAGCAGUGUUGUUACCUUUGUUCUUGUACUUCUCCCAAUUGAAGUGUUUCAAAACAUCCUUUUGUUCCUUCAAACUUUCCAUUGUUAGGUAUGCAGAUGCAAAUCUAGUAACGCCACAACGAAUAAGUUCUUUGUUCUUUGAAGCCACUAGGAAAUCACUAUGAAGGUUCGUGUGGUUGUAGAUGUGUGUAGUGAUUUUCCUUGUAUUUUUGACAACUUUGGGAUUUUACCGACAUCCUCAAUUGUCAAAUCCAACACAUGUGCUACGCAAGGAGUCCAAUACAAAUGUUUGCACUUAUCCAUUAGCAUCUUUCCAGCCAAUACAUAGUUGCUUGCGUUGUCGGUACAAAUUUGAACCACAUUGUCCACUCCAACCUUUUGCAUUGCAUCGUCAAGAGUUUUGGCGACGUAAUCGGCAGUUUUUGAUUCAGAUGAUGCAUAUAGAAGGUCCCCGCACUUGAAUUAUCUAAGAAGUUGAUAAUACUUCUGUUGCGUCCAUCGGUCCAACCAUCUGACAUCAGUGUACAACCCCCACGUUUCCAAGCCUCCUCAUGUUUUUUCCGAAUUUCUUUGGUUUUUGUAACUUGUCUCUUGAGAAGGGGUACUCUCAAUUGAUACAUUGAAGGUGACUUAUAGUUUCUGCCAUAUCUACCAACGGCCUCAAGCAUGACCUAUGACAUUUAUUUAAGAACUGAUUACGUAAAAAUCAGACUUAUUAAAUCAUGUUAAAAAUUGAAAAAACUAAUUUCAUACCUCAAAAAGUGGAUUACGAACCACAUUGAAAGGAAUUCCACUAGAAUAAAAAAAUUCAGCUACUAUGUCGUCCACAAUAGUCUUGGCUUCCUUUUUCAUAUGAUCUUCAAUUGAUGAUUGUUUCGACUUAGAAGUAUUCCUCUUUCGAACAACGUCGUGGACUGUUUCGUUGUCUUCCAAACCCAAAGCAUUCAUCUUCUUUAAUAAUCCAGAUGUUGAUAACUUGUUUGAUCCUAGCACACUUGAUUUUGUGGUCGAAAUUGUUUUAUGCGCUUUCUUUGAUUUCUUGCUCAAUUUGAUGAUAUCGAUGAUGGGAGCCUUGUCUUUCCUCUUCUUUUUCCCCAUAUAUUCCAGCAAUUCAUUUACAAUUGCAAUGGUUAUAAAAUGACAUUUUUGAACAUUAUUUGUACCGUGAGUAUCUCCGGUAAUAUGUUCCUUCAAGCGUCCUAUUCCACCACUGUUGGUUUUUCCACAUAAAAGACAUUGGACUUGAUAGGAUUUCGAGAAGUCGUUGAUCACUCCAUAUUUCCAUGCCAAAUCUGUAGAUUUAGUAGGUCUUUUCGAUUUAUCCGAAAUUACCUCCACCGGUAUGGAUUUAUGGUACACAACAUUAGGAUCUGGUUGAUAACGAUUUUGGGCAGCAACAUUGACAUCAGGAAUAGGGUCAGGACUUUCAGCAGUAGUGGCUGGAAUUUCUGGAAUAGGCUCAGCAGCCGUAGCUGCAACAUUUUAAGCAGUAGUUGCUGGAAUAAAAUUGACUUCUUCGCUGUCCAGCAACUCUAAUUCAUCCUCUAAUUCUUCCAAAUCGAUACGCACAUCAUUUCCAGCUUCAUUUUCACUGGAAUGACUGGAUUCUUCACUUAAAAGAAGUACGUAAUCGCUGGAUUCUUGGGAAGACAUGAUCGAUGGAGUAGGAUAAUAUUUCAGAUCGUGGAAAGUGAAGGAAAAGAAGAAAGUGUAGGAUAAUGUCAAACAAAUGUGGAGGAAAAGAAGAAGAAAAAAUUCUGAUGGUGGAGAAUCAAAGAAAUGUGGAGGAGAAGAAGAAGGAAAAAAAUUUUAAUGGUGGAGAGUCAAAGAAAUAUGGAGAAAAUGUGGAGGAGAAGAAGAAAAGAAAGUGGAGAAGAAGGAGAGGGUUUUUAAAUAACGGCUAGGGUUUCAAAAUCUAAUAACUUAUAAGGAGAGGCUUAUAAAAUUUAAACUUAUUAAAAUAAGGCCUUUAAAUAACUUAUUAAUAUAACGUAAUGGGCUUUAUUAAAUGAAGCCUUUAAAAAAACAAAUUAAAAUAGAUUAAAUAAGUAUUAUUUUAUUGAGACCGGGUCGGGUACGGGUAAGACCCGACCCGUCGACCCAUUUACCCGUCCCAACUAACCGGCCACCUGUUUUUAAUUUUUUACCGGUCAGCCGGUUCGUCGGUUUUUAAACCUUGAGAGUAAUAACUAGCUAAUUACAUAUUACACCAUUAUAAAUGAUAAUACUAAUAGCCCUCCUCAAGUUCAUCUAUGAUCAUCGAUGAGGUUGACUUUGAUGUUCAUAAAUGGCGUAGGCCUUAGUGCUUUGGUCAGAACAUCAGCCCCCUGCUUGGUGUUUGGAAUGUGUAUUACUUCUAAAUCCUUCUUCUCUACUCUUUCUCUCACAAAGUUGAAGUCUAUCGCAGAAUACAAGAUUAGCAGCCAAUUGUGUUGCUCCCAAGUUGUCACUCCACAACUUAUAUGGUCUGUCAAUUUUUAUGCCCAUUUCAUACAAUAAAUUCGCUACCCAAUCCAAUUCUGCUGUUGCUGAGGUGAUAGCUCUGAACUCUGCUUCAGUGCUUGAUCUUGACACAGUGCCUUGCUUCUGUGAGCACCAAAUAACCAAGGACUGCCCCAUAUACACUAAGUAUCCAGUCUGACUUUUUCUGUCAGUUUCAUCUGAAGCCCAAUAUGCAUCACUGAAUGUUGAAAUGCUGAAUUCCUUGCUUUUUCUGAGUACAAUUCCCAUAUAUUGUGUUACACACAGGUAUCUCAGCACCCUUUUCAUCAUAUUCCAGUGAAUUUCUUUAGGUUUUUCCAUGAACUGAGCCAAUUUGUUCACUGCAUAGGCAAUGUCAGGCCUUGACAUUGUAAGAUACUGCAGAGAACCAAUUAUUUUUCUAUAAUCAGUGACUCUUUCUAUCACCUCAUCCUCAGAAUAGAACUGUUAAUUUGACUGCAUUGGAGUAGAUACGGGUUUUAGGUUCUCAAAGCCAUGUUUGCUCAAAAGAUUAACAAGGUAUAACUGCUGAUCCAGAAACAACCCUUCAACAUGCUUCCUCACCCUAAUUCCCAAGAAAUAUUCAAGUUCUCCACACACUCUAACUGCAAAUUCAGAUUUUAGUGUGUCCAAACAUUCCUCUACCUUUGCUGGACUUGAUCCAGUGACCACCAUAUCAUCUACAUACACAAGUAUGUAAAUUAUAUCAUCAUCAUCAUUGAUUCUAACAAACAAAGAAUCAUCCGAUUGGCAUAGCUUAAAACCCAUAUUAUUCAAGAAUUACUUUAACCUCCUAAACCACAUCCUUGAAGCUUGCUUCAACCCAUACAGUGCUUUCUUUAAUAGACACACAUGUCUAGGUUUGGAUUCAUCAAGAAAUCCUAUAGGCUGCCUCAUAACAAUUCUUUCCUCCAACUGCCCAUGCAGAAAUGCAUUACUAAUAUCAAUUUGUUGCAAUGCCCAUCCUCUAGAAACUGCAAUUGUGAGAACAAUUCUUAUAGACUUUGGUUUUACCACAGGGCUAAAAGUUUCACUAUAAUCCUUGCCUUCCACUUGGUUGGUCCCAUUUGCUACCAACCUAGCUUUUAACCUCUCCACUAUGCCAUCAGACCUUUCCUUCACCUUGAACAACCAGAUAUUGUUGAUUACAUUAUCACUUUCACAUCUAGGAAUGAGUUCCCAUAUCUCAUUUCUCAUUAAAGCAUAUACUCAUCCUGCAUGGCCAAUUUCCAUUCAGGGUCAUUUAAUGCAAUUUUCACAGAUUUAGGAGCUUGCUUCUGAGUGAGGGUAAUGGACAAUGCAUAUUUUGCUAUUGUCCCUCUGGUUGCUCUCCUUGUAACUGGAACAUGCUGCACUUGCCCUUCAUCAUCAGAUUCUGGCUGGUAAAUUUCUCCUGAACUGUCUGAAGCUGUAUCUUCAUUUUCAGGUUCUGAAAUGUCAGAAUUAUGUAAUUUUCCCUGUUCUAGUGAGACUGAAUUAUUUGAGGCAGAAUCUGUCUCAAUUUGCAACUGUGGAGCUGGAUUAUGUAUCUUUCUCGCAUAUGUUUGAACAAUUAUUGAGGCCUUCACUUGUUCAUGCUCAGAGUCACUCUCUGAAUUCUGAUCAACUUGUGCUGAAUUCUCUUGAGAAAACACCUUCUUGAAACACUACAUCUCUUGAGAUUAAAGUUCUUCCAUCCUCCAUAUUCAUACAAAUAUACCCAUCACAAUUGGCCGGGUAUCCCAUAAAUGUGUAUGGAGUUGAUUUAUCACUCAACUUGUUCUCUCUAUAAGGUCUCAAGUUAGGAUAACACUUGGACCCAAACACCCUUAAUUUAAAAUACUCGGGUGCUCUGUGAUGCAAUGCCUCAUAAGGAGAAAUUCUACCUAAAACACUGGUGGGAUUUCUGUUAUAUAGAAAUACAACUGUCAUGAAAGAGUAAUCCCAAAAAUGUGCUCAAUACCUGCAUGAUUUAGCAUAGCCAGCCCUUUAUCGACAAUAUGUCGUUGUCUUCUCUCCACUUUUCCCAUCUGAGAAUGAGUGUGUGGACAGCUCAGACGGUGCACUAUUCCAUUCUUUCUUAGAUUAGUUGACAAUUUUAGAAAUUCCUUUGCAUUGUCGCUCUGAAAUGCUUUGAUUUUUCUAUCAUAUUUGCCUUUCAACCAAUCUCUGAAAUUGAUAAAAACAGUCCUCCACCUCAGAUUUCUUUUUCAUUAAAAAAAGCCAAAUAAAACUUGUAUAAGCAUCAACGAAAUUGAUAUAGUACUUAUAUCCUUCUGAGGAUUCACAUGGUGCAGACCCCCAUACAUCAGCAAAUAUUAACUCUAGAGGAUGAGAAUAAGUAGUGGUUCUUUUAACAUGUUUCAAUUUCUUGGAUUUUGCUAUGCAACAGUUUUCACAUGACUCGUGAAUUGAUUUGACAUCAGUAAACACUACUAAUUUAUUUUUAUUCAACUCUUCUAUAGCUUUGGAAUGUAGAUGUCCAAGCCUUAGGUGCCAAACCCUAACUGUAGCCUUCAUCCCAAUCUCAACUUGAUUAGCCUGCAUUUCUUUAUUCCUCAGAUUGAUGGGCAGCUCAUAUAGUCCAUCUCCUUUUGUUCCAUGAAAUAGAACCUCUUUAGUUUCCAUGUCUUUCACCACUACUUUCUGUGAAUUAAAUUCCAUGCACACUUUAUUGUCAAAACAGAAUCUUUUAACUGAAAUUAGAUUCUUAGCAGCAGUAGGAACAUAUAGGAGUUCCUAAUGUGUGAUCAUACUAAAAAUUCGAUUAUUAAUUGAAAAAAUCGAAUUACCAUAAUGUGUGAUCUGCAUAGGUCGACUAUCAACAAUGUUGAUCGAUUUAUCACACUUAAAACAGUCUUGAAUAUUGCCUCUAUCUUUAGUGACAUGAUUUGUCGCACCUGAAUCAAAAUACCAGGCUGUAGACUCCACUGUGCAUUCAACAUUCACUGACAUAUCAUCAAUCGUUCCUGUCUCUGGAUGCCAUACUGAAUUGAGCUUUGAAUUUCCUUUGUAAGCUACAUUUGCGGACAUUUUCCCUGUUGGACCAGUUGGGGAUAAUGUUCUGUUAUGUGUAGGUGGAUACUUGAUCAAAUUAAUCCUAUUGUAACAAUUUAGUGCUCCAUGUCCCUUUCCCGAACAGAUUUGGCAUGGAACAGAUUUAAGAUUAAUCUUUCCAGCAACUUUUCCUCCCUUCUUAGAUUCACCCAUAUUUGCACUGAUGGGAGACACUAUAUUUGUGCGUGCUCUCCUGAUCUCUAUGUCUAUCAGCAUUCCCUUCAGUUCACGAUAGGCCACUUUAUCCCUCUAAGAUGACACAUUUUGGAUCAGUGAUUCAUAGUCAUCUCCUAAUCCAGCCAGCACCAAUAUCACCACAUCUGAAUCUUCUAAUUUUUCUCCAGCUAUAGCAAGACUUUCAAGAUGUGUAUUAAUUUCAGAUAUAUAUUCAGAGACACUCUUACCUCCCUUCUUGAGAUUUUGCAGUUUCUGCCUUAUGCUCAGAACCUGCGAUCGGGAGGAUGAUGCAAACUCCAUUUGCAGAGCUUUCCACGCCUCGUGAGAAGUUUCACACCAUGAAACCUCAGCCACCACGGAUGCCGUCAGUGAGGAUACGAGCCAUCCCAAGAUCAGACGAUCUUGCCUUCUCGCCCUAGGCGAAUCCAGUGCCACAUUUCCAGUAAGGUAUUGAUAUAAAUCGUUACCUUUCAUGUUGGCUCCAAAUUGCGUUCUCCAAGCAAAAUAGUUGCCCCGGUCUAACGCCACCGUCUUCAGUCCUUUGAAGAUCACGACGUUCGCCGGACCUUCUAGGAAUUCUGAAUCGCCGGUCUCCAGUUCUCCAUCAAUUCUCGACAUGGCUAAGCAAUGGAAAUUAGUUACUGUCGAGAUCUUGAAAUGGAGGGGAAAAAAAAACUCGACUUUGAUCUCAAUUCCCAGGAUCAAAUGAAGGCAGAUGAUACCAUAUUAAUGAAACAGUAGAAAGUAUAUGGGAAAUGGGGGAGAUCAAAUGAUUGAUCCCUCCUAAAAUGUCAUUAAUGAAUACAUAUACAAUUAGGAGGGAUUAGAUCUUAACAGAAUUGUAAUAACAUAUUCUGUUAAGACUUAUCCAUUAGAAUGUUCUAGAAUUAGGAAUUAAACAACUUAGCUAGCUAAUUACAUUAGUAAGAGUAAUAACUAGCUAAUUACAUAUUGCACCAUUAUAAAUGAUAAUACUAAUACCUAUUUAGAAAGUUUUGGAAAUCCGGCUACCUAUUCCUAGGGCGUAACAUUGCAAAAAAAAAAAUCGAGGAUGGCCGGAAUCCGGCCAUCUUUUUUCCCCCUUUUCAGACGGUCUGAAGGUAGGGAAAGUGAUGGAAAAAUUGAGGAAAGUCAUACCACUACUAGGCGUGCAGAUCGGGUGAGAAAAACGACAGAAAAAAUGAAACUCCGGCGAAGGCUCCGGCGAGCUCUAGGGUUUUGGAAGAAAAAAAGUGAUAGAGUUAUCAAAGAUAUGAAAUGAAAUGAAUGUUACUAGAGAUUGGCAAUGAAAACCAUAAUGUCCAUUAGCCACAGCCUAUUGAAUAUAUAGGUUGGGAAAAGUGAAAAGUAGAUCUCAACUACCUUGAGGUAGUGGAUCAGUACACUGUAAAAACAGAAAUGCAAUGUAAAGUAAUUCUACUUUAACUAAUUAGAGUAAAUAAUUGUAUUUACUCUAAUAUUUACUUUAACAUUCCCCCUCAAACUUGUGGAGCCUGAUACACAAGUUUGGGCUUUAAACUUAAGAAUAGGGCAGGUCUCAAUGGCUUUGUCAGGAUAUUAGCUAACUGCUUGUCACCACUGAUAUGCAGAACUUGUAGUGACUUGUUCUCUGUCCUUUCUUUUAUAAAACUGAAAUCAAGAGCAGUGUGCUUCAUUUUUGUGUGACAUAUUGGAUUUUGAACAAUAAAUGUGGUGCUCAAAUUUUCAUGGGAAGAGGAACUUCCACCCCAAGUUCUUGCAGUAAUGGAACACAGAUUCCAUGUGUUCAACUGUUGUACCCACUGCCCUUAUUCUGCCUCAGUGGUAGAUCUGGAGACAGUGGUCUGUUUAUUGGAAGCCCAAGCCACAAGGGUACUUCCAAUAAAUAUUAACAAUCCAGUUUGACUUUUCCUAUCACUUAUAUCCCCUGCCCAGUCAGAAUCAGCAUAAGCAUUGAUGGAGAAGUCUGUUGUCCUUCCAAGAAUAAUACUAGUUGUUUGAGUGCCUGAGAGAUAUCUCAUUAAUUUCUUCACUGCAAUCCAGUGAACUUCUGUAGGAGCAGCAAGAAAUUGGGAGAGUUUAUUGACAGCAGAUUGUAUGUAUGGUCUUAUGAGUGUGAGAUAUUGGAGAGAUCCAAUAAUUCUCCUAUAUUCACCGUGAUCAGCAAUUGGUGGACUUGCAAUAAAUAACUGUUUGAGAUCACCCAUGGGUGUAAUUGAGGGUUUUAGAUGAUCAAAAUUGCAGCUUCUCAAUAAAUUGCACAAGUACUGUUGCUGGCACAAAUGUAAUCCUUCUUUCAUAGGAUUGACUUGAAUACCAAGAAAAUAUUUGAGAUCACCCAGUUCUCUGAGUGUGAAUUCUUUACUGAUUUUCUGAAUGAUUUCUCGUACUCUGAUGUUAUCUGAUCCUGUGAUGACAAUGUCAUCAACAUAAACAAACAGAAAAAUCUUAAUGUUUUAUUGAAGAAGGAUGAACAGUGAUGAAUCAGAAGAGCAUUCUUUGAAGGAGACAGAAACAAGAAAAUCCUUCAAUCUGGUGUACCACAUCCGUGGAGAUUGCUUGGGUCCAUAUAGGGCUUUUUGCAGCAAACACACAUGAUCUGGAAAUUUAUUAUCAACAUAUCCAGAUGGUUGUAAUACUAUUAUUCUUUCAUUCAGCUUACCAUGCAAAAAUGCAUUAGAAAUGUCAAUUUGCUUUAAUGACCAUCCAUUAGAUAUAGCCAUUGUUAAAACAAUGCUGACUGAAUUGACUUUUAUCACUGGACUGAAUGUAUGGGUAUAAUCAGAUCCUUCUAUCUGCCUCAUUCCAUUAGCCACUAGACGGGCUUUAUACCUUUCAACGGUCCCGUCAUCUUUGGAUUUGACCUUGAAAAUCCAUUUUGUGUUGAUGAUAUUGUCUUCCGUAGAUCUGGGAAUUAACUGCCAUGUUUCAUUCCUCAUUAGAGCUUCAUAUUCCUCCUUCAUGGCCUGCUGCCAUUCAGGAAUUUAGAGAGAUUAUAUUUCAGAGGUUUGAUAAUGCCACUUGCUGCUCUAGUUCUUCUUGGGACAACCUCAAUUUCCUCACCAUCCUCAUUUCCAUUGUUAGUUGGAGUGGGAGACGGUGUAUAAAGGGAGCCAGAGAUUGGAGUAUGUUCUUCUGGUGAUGUGGGUGGUGUAAGAGGAGGUGUGGUAUCCUGAACUUGCUUUGUUGCAUGAGAAGUUUCACCUGAUGAUGUCUGAUUUUGUAUAUCACUAGCUUGAGAGAAUUCUCCCUCGACGUUUCACCGGAGGUGAGUUAUCAGUGGGAGUGAAGGGAGACACACUAUCUGAUUCUGGAUUUGGAUUCAGCUGAUAUUAUCGUUAUAUCAGCACUAGAUGGACCACCUGAUUCAGCUGUAAUUGCGCCUGAGCUAACUGACUUUGGAGUUGGUCUGACCAACUGAAUAUUAGAAUAAUUUUUCAGUUGAUAUUAUGGGACUGGUUCUUCUCCUUUGAGCAAUUGAUUGAGAGAAAAUUCUCCCUCAACAAACUUGACAUCACGAGAGACAUAUAACUUAUGAUCCACAGGGUCAUAGUAGAGAUAACCAUCUUGGUUCCUUGGAUAUCCAAGGAAUACACAAGGUUUAGAUUUUGGUGAAAGCUUAUUUUCUCUUUGAUUUCUAAGACAAGGAAAGCAUCUCGAUCCAAACACCUUGAGCCUGUCAUAGUCUGGAAUAUUGUGAGAUAAAGCCUCUAAUGGCGAUAUAUUUCCAAGUGUGGUGGUUGGAUUCAAAUUAUAUAUAUGUGUUGCUGCCACUACUGCAUAAGACCAGAAUUGAUCUGGGAGAGAACAAAAAUCCAGCAUGGUGAUUGCUGUAUCUACUAUGUGUCUGUGUUGUCUCUCUACGCUGCCCAUCUGUUGAUGGCUAUAAGGAACAUAAAAUCUGUGGAUAAUGCCCAAUGUUUCCAGAUGCUUUGAGAGUUUCUUAAAUUCCAGAGCAUUAUCAGUUUGUAAUUGUUUAAUUUGAUGACCACACUGUAAUUCCACCAUUUUUCUGAAGUUAUCAAACACCUCAGAAACUUGUGAUUUAUUGGACAAGAGAUAGAUUUAAUUAUGGUUGGUGUAAGCAUCAACGAAAUUAAUAAAAUAUUUAAAACCAUCAAUUGAAAGAGUGGGAGAAGGACCCCAAAUAUCAGCAUAGAUUAGUUCCAACGGAUAUGUGUACACAGAGGUAGAAGAUUUAUGAGGAAGAGCAUGAUCUUUCCCAAUAUGACAAGAUGUGCAAUCUUCUACUUUGUUACAACUUGAACUAAUCAGACCUCUCUUAAUUAGAGAUAAUACAGAUUUAAAAUUAAGAUGUCCUAGACGACAGUGCCACACCUCACUUGACACUUUUGAUUUCUCCACCAUAGAAACUUCUGGUGAGUGUUUUAUUGAAAGUGACAUUGGAUAAAAUCCAUCUUCCUCUUGAUCCACAGUGAGAACCUCCUUAGUUUCCCGAUCCAUAACCUUGGAUUGUUGUUCAUUAAAUUCAAUAGCCACAUAAUUAUCUUUACAAAUUUUUUUGACAGAUAUGAGGUUCCUGUUAGCAUCUGGAACUACUAGAACAUCAUUGAGAAUAAAAUCGGAUCCUUGACAAGAGAAUUCUGCUCUUCCCAAAUGAGUAAUCUCCAUACCUUUACCAUUGGCAGUCCUAAUAUAUUCAGACCCUGUAUAUGGACGUAUAGAGUGGAGAUUUUUACCUGAUUGAGUUACACUAGAGUUUGCUGCAGAAUCCUGAUACCACCUAGCAUUUCCCCCUGAACCAGAUCUGAUCAUGUUGGUAGAAGGAGAUUUGUUGUCAGAGUACUGACCAGGACCAUUGGGAGACAGUGCUCUGCGAUGAUCCGGAGGAAAAUGGGAAAGAUUGAUCCUCUUGUAACAAUUCUUCCCGUUAUGACCUUUCUUUGAACAUAUUUGACACCAAAUUUCCCUGUUCAGCCCUCCCAGAGCAUUUUGGCGAUAGGAACCAGGAGAUUUUGCAGCCGCAUUGACCUCAGGAUGAAGAGAAGCAAUAUCCUUCUUUAGUUCCUGGUCAUGAUCCAGAAUUAGUUGUUGAAAUUCCAGAAACUUCAUGUUGUGAUCAAACCUCGUAGUGAUAGAGGUUUUGAAAGACUGGAAUUCAGAUCCAAGACCUCCCAAUGUGAUGAGAAUCACUUGUGAGUCUUUGAGAAGUUCUCCAGCACAUGAUAGUUGAUCUCUCAUCAACGUUAUUUUCUUCAAGUAUUCAAUCAUUGGCAGAUUUCCCAUCUUGAUUGUUUGAAGAUUUUGCCGUAGGUGUAGGAGACGAGUCUCUGAACCUGAUGCAAAUAGAGAUUGGAACGUAGUCCAGACCUCUGCAGAAGUUUGAAGAGCAGCUACCUGCGGCAUAAUCGAUGAUGAUAGCGAGGUGUAGAUCCAGCUUCUGAUAAGUGAAUCCUGCUGAUCUUCCGAGGAAUCCGCCACGAUUGUGACUUUCCCAUCAACAUAGCGAGUGAGAUUGAAUCCCUUCAGCAUGGUGGCGAACUGAGCGGACCAGCUGAAGUAAUUUGUAUCGUCGAGAAUGAUACAUUUUGGAGCCUUCAUGUGCAACAUUGUUGCUGACGAUUGUUGAUUGUCGGUGGUUGCGGAAACUGAAGAUUGACUGGCCGAUGAUACCAUAUCAAAGAUAUGAAAUGAAUGUUACUGGAGAUUGGCAAUGAAAACUGUAAUGUCCAUUAGCCACAGCCUAUUGAAUAUAUAGGUUGGGAAAAGUGAAAAGUAGAUCUCAACUACCUUAAGGUGGUGGAUCAGUACACUGUAAAAACAGAAAUAAAGUAAAAACAAAAAUGUAAUGUAAAGUAAUUCUACUUUAACUAAUUAGAGUAAAUAAUUGUAUUUACUCUAAUAUUUACUUUAACAAGAGUGAUAAAAAGAAAUUAAGGUUUUAUUAGAAGGGUAUUUGGUUUAUAUAGUAAGAUAGAAAAGGAGGGGUAGAAAGGGAAAUAAAAGAUUUUUAAGUUCUUUUAUAUGGGUAAUGAAUUGACCCAACCCACUAACCCGACCCUACCCACGUACCCACUUUUCAGCUUUAAUAGCUUUAAGCGGCGCUUUAAACGCCGCUUUUAAAUCUAUGGUUGUUCUAAUCUCCUAUUCCUUUCACACCAUAUGUGCCAGGAAAGGGAUGCUAGCAUAGUCCAGUGUACCCUCCAACAGCUGGACUUGUGGGUGAAUUUUUGUAUUGUUUCCAUAAUAUUCCCUAUCCUGAUGUCUAUUGCGGGAGAUGGGGGAUUUUGCCCACUAAGUGUCCAAACAGCAUUGUUAAGGCAACUAGUGGACUCUAGCAAUAGGGAUCUAGUGUAAUGGCAGUUAAAGUAUAGGUGUUGUAAUGUUUCUUCCUCAUUUCCACAUAGUGGGUAGGACGUAUUUAUGUUGAGUCCCCAGCUUUGCAGUCUAGUUAAAGUGUUCAGACUCUUGACCUUAAUUCUUCACAACAACAUGGAGAAUUUGGGAGGCUUUUUGGCCCAGAUCCUUAGAUUUAUCUCUUGUAAGAUGCCUCUGGGCCUUAAUGUUUCUGAGUGCUUGGAGGGGGCUAUUUGUGUGACCCUAUAGUUCCUCAGGCAGUUUAUACAUUUCCCUAUUGUUUCCUUAUUAGCUAGUAUUGUUUUCCACAUGUGAGAGUCCAGAGUAGGCCUACACUCUAUUUCCCCAAUGUUUCUUCCUUUGAUGUACCUAAUUUUUAUCCAGUCUGCUAGUAUGGAGUUAUUAGGACUCUACAUCCUCUCUGUUCUUUUAACCAAUGCUGAAACAUUGGUUGCAAAGAAAUCCAUGACCCCUAUUCCGCCUUCGCUCUUUGGGAGUGCCAUUUUUUCCCAACUACUCUCUCUUCUCCCGUCCCAAAUGAAGUUGUAUGCUAGGCUCUGGAUCUUUUUAAUAACUGUGCAUGGCAAUGUGGUUCCGUUUGCCCAGUAUUGAAACUUACCUUGUAAGACCCAAUCCACUAAUUGGGUUCUGCCUGCGUAGGACAGACAUCUCCCUUUCCAUCUGGCUAAAAAAUUUUCUAUUAGAUUUAUCAACUUCCAACAUGUCGCGUGAGAUUUCUUUCUUCCCGUUAUUGGGAGACCAAGAUAGUUGAUAGGGAGGGAUUUAAUUGGGAAGUUGAGAAUGUUAUGCAGAUAAUGAUCAUUCAUGCAUACUUUUGAGUAGGUUGUUGAGCUCUUCUCCUGAUUAAUCUCAAGGCCUGAGAAUUUGGAAAAAAUCUCUAGGAUUUUCUUGAUUGUUUCUAGAGACUUGGGAUUUGCCUUUGAGAAGAUCAACACAUCAUCUGCGUAGAUGAGAUGCGAGAUGAAAACCGCUCCAUUCACGAUAUAAGUAUCCAUCCUCUUAUCUUUGAUCUCUUUCUCUAUUAGUCUGCUAAGAUUAUCCAUUACCAGGUCGAAUAAGAUAGGAGACAAUGGGUCCCCCUGCCUGAUUCCUCUAAAAUUAGUGAAGGAGGGAGUGGGGGAUCCCUCAACCUGUACCGAGAAGGAGGUUGUGGAUAUACAGUUGUGUACCAAUUUGCACAACAGAGGGUUGAAUCCCAUUGCGUCGAGGGUGUGUGUGAUUGCUUGCCAUUUCACUGUAUCAAAUGCCUAUUUGAGAUCGAUACUUAGACAACAUCUGAUGUAGAACAUCAUACAUGGGCUCCUGGCCCAUCUCCAUUAUAGAAGUCCCAUUAUUGAAAGAGAAUAUAAAUAGAGACAAGCCUGGAAGGAUCGACAGUUUUUGAUUCAAUGGCAUUGUUAAGGUUUUAACCUUUUAUUCUUCCUCUCUAUUUUCUACUUAUCCUCUUCCUAAAUCUGGUGGAUUCCAGCAAUUCUCUCUGUGUUCUUGUUCUAAAUUUGGUGGAUUCCAGAGUAUUCUCUUCAUCUUCUGUGGAUUCAGAAGAUCUAUCUUGUAGCGAUCAUCAAUCAGAGAUCGGCUACAUCAGGUGGUAUCAGAGCUUAAGCUUCAACUUCUAGGCUUGAAGCAAUCCGAUCCUGCAUUUUCUAGAAUUUUUUUUUUUCCGUCUGGGGAGGUUUCCAUUUUUGCGAUCAUCUUCAAAGAGGUGUCUGGAUCGUAAAAAAAAAAUCGCUAUCGGACGCAAGUUUUUUUUUCCCGAUCUAUUUCUCCAAUUGUCGUCCGGUGACUUCUAGUUUCUUCCGUCUGUCAGUGAUAGUGGAGAAUUUCCCGUCCGUCUGCGUCAAUUUUUUUAACGUCUGGACUGCCAUUUGGAAUUUCCGUCUGCGUCAUCUACUGCCAACUGGAAUUUCUUCCAUCUCUACGAUCACUUCUUCUUGCGAUCGGUGUUUCUUCUUGCGAUCACGUCUUCUGUCCGGCUUCCAUUUUUCCGUCUGGCUUCCAUUUCUUCUGUCGCGGUUCUGCCCUUACAAUCACGUCUUCUGUCUCUGUCGCGUUUCUUCUUCGGUCAGGCUAUUGUGAGAGUGUCUGGACUCUGUUGCGAUUCUGCGGUCAGUCUGCAAUCAUCAGUCAUCAGGUGAGUGACUUUCGUUCCGUCUGGUGAUCUGAGGACUUCCGUUUAUCGUCGUCAUCAAGAGAAUUUUUUUUUUGCGAUAAAAAAAAAAAAUCGUGGAGACUUUACUGGAUCUGACAGCACUUCAUUCCCGUCAUCUGCUUCUUCUUUUUCCGAUCUUGGAGACUUGGUGGUGUUGGGUUAUUGUCAUCGUCGUCUGUAACUAGCGAGUUGCUGUGGGAAAUUGUGCAAAAUUUUCGGAAAAAUCAAAGUGACUUGCGUUGUGAUUCUUGGCAAUUUGAAAUCAGUAUUUGUGACACCUCUUGAUCUGGACGUUGAUUUAUAGUUGUGAUACUGAAUUAAUCAAAAAAAAAAUGGCAGAUGAACACAUUACAAGAGAGGAAUGGGAAUUCACGAACAAAGCCAUCGCUGAAUUAACAGCCGCGAUGCGUGAUGGAUUUACAGAACUAAGGAGGGUCAUCCGGCCCACUGAACCGGCGGUGAACGUUGACUUCCGGCCACCAAUCGUCGGAAGAAAAUUUGGCACAUUUGGACAGGAAAUAAUAUACCCCAGGGGAGUGUUCAAUCACAGAAGGAGACAACAGCUAAGUCCUCGUCAGCGAUUGAUGGUUCAAGAGCUGGAAGUUGACUCAUCUGAGGAGGAGGAUCCAGAGCAGUUCCGACCACAAAUUCAGCAAUAUGGACGCCACAAUCCAAGGUUAAGUGGUGUUCGUGGAAGAGGUAAUGAAGUGUAUGAUCAGAGGAAUUAUUUGGAUAAUGAAUAUGAAGAAGGAAAGGUAACCAAACUUAUGAAAAAGAAGGGUACAAUUACAAAUAUGGAAAUGAUGGACAGCGCAGGAGCUGGUGAUAUUGUUUCAAUUGCUGGAUUGAAUAGUCCAUCUAUCGGUCAUACAGUGGCAAAUAUGGAGGUCAUGACUGUGCUUCCGAAUGUUGAUUUAGACCCACCAACAAUUUCUAUGACUUUUAGUGUCAAUGAUUCUCCAUUGGUUGGUCGUGACGGCACCCAUAUGACUGGUGGGAAAAUUGGUGAUCGACUCUCAGCAGAAGCUGAGACAAACCUUGCUAUUAAUGUGAUACCAGGAACAUCAGAAUCAUAUGAAGUUCAAGGGAGGGGCGAGCUUCAAUUAGGUAUAUUGAUUGAGAAUAUGAGGUGUGAAAGGUUUGAACUUUCUGUUUCACCUCCAAAAGUAAUGUAUAAGUAUGAGAAAGGUGAAAAAUUGGAGCCCAUAGAAGAAGUUACAAUUGAGGUGAAUGAAGAACAUGUUGGAGUUGUUAUGGAAGCCCUUUCACAGAGAAAGGUUGAGGUUACUGACAUGGGUCCUGUUCCAGGGUCUGUUGACAAGACUAAAAUGACUCUAACAUGUCCAUCAAGGGGCUUAGUGACACUCCAUGAUCAAAAAGGGAAAGGUCACACUAGUAUGUCUAUCGCUGAAUGGUUAAAGUCGUGGCGGGGAAAAGAAGUCAGUGGGUCAUUUUCACGUAAUAGAGCACAUUGGAGGAAACGUUUCCCACCUGACCCAGGUGAAGCAUAUCUCGUAAAGCAGAGAAGUUCUUAAUGAGGACUAAUGCCGCUAUUUUGAGACGUUCGAGGACGAACGCUCCUGAAGAAGGGUCGCCUGAUGUAGAACACCAUACAUGGGCUCCUGGCCCAUCUCCAUUAUAGAAGGCCCAUUAUUGAAAGAGAAUAUAAAUAGAGGCAAGCAUGGAAGGAUCGACAGUUUUUGAUUCAAUGGCAUUGUUAAGGUUUUAACCUUUUAUUCUUCCUCUCUAUUUUCUACUUAUCCUCUUCCUAAAUCUGGUGGAUUCCAGCAAUUCUCUCUGUGUUCUUGUUCUAAAUCUGGUGGAUUCCAGAGUAUUCUCUUCAUCUUCUGUGGAUUCAGAAGAUCUAUCUUGUAGCGAUCAUCAAUCAGAGAUCGGCUACAUCAACAUCUUUUGGGGGUUCUAAUUCUCCCGAAGCCAUGUACCAUCUCGUCUGCCAAGAUGCUGUUAUCUGAGAUGUUUCUUUCUGCUAUGAAAGUUGUUUGGUGAGGAGAUAUUAACUCAGAGGAGACCUUGGAGAUUCUGUCAGCCAAGAUAUUGGUGAGCAGUUUGUAAUAUUUUAUUAAUAGGUACUAUUAUAAAAUAUUAAAAUAGUACCUAUAAAUCAUAGGUAAUAUUUUAAGUUUCUCGUUAUUCUUUCAUAGGUACUAUUUUAUUAAUAUUUUUAAAAUUAGAGGUAUUUAUGCCAAAUUUCUAUAAAUCCAGGGAAAUUAUUGCAAUUUUCCCACUUGAUUUUAUGCACGCCUAGACACCUCAUGCGGUUAUGCGAUAGCUUGCUGUAUGUUGUUGUUGAUCUAGAAAAAUGUAGUAUUUCUUAGUUUUGAAUUCCUAAAAAGAAAUUCAAUUCUCCAAGAUCUCGAACUUUGAAUUCUUCUCCAUCAGCAAGUUUUCAUUAAGUAUAGCGCCAAACUGCGUCCUCCACGUUAAGCAGUUACUCUUAUCGAGCAGUACCUUCCUCAAGUGCUUCACCAUCACCAGUUUUGUGGUGCCGAUUGCAACUUCCAAUGCCCGGUUAACACCCUACAUCAAGUAAUUUGCACAGAGGAAUCAAAGAGAAAUAAAAGGAAGAAACAGAGGAUGCUCAGAUCAGAAUAUCGUAUGAACGAUUUCUGAUUUCUCAGCUUUGAUACCAUAUAAAUUCCUGGGAAUUAUAUGAAAACAGAGUACUCAUUGAUGUAUGUUCCUUAUAUAUCCAUUACAAUUGAGAUAAGUUCUGUAAAAUAGAUAACCUUAUCUAAGAUAAGGUUUAUCUUUUCCUUCAGGUAGAAGUUACCUUAGUAUGUAAGUUAUCUAAUGGAUAUCUAUCCAAUAGAUUUUUACUGUGGGUUUAAUACCGUGUAUUAGCCCAUAUUUUAUAUAAGUAGGAAAUUAUAUUAAUGAUUUAUUUAUUACAUUAAUACUUUCAUUUUUUGUUGUAUGUUCACAGGUCAGGAAAUUGGAAACCUACCUUGUGAAUUAUUGGUGUCAAAAAGGUCUCAAACCGAGCAAGCACUGUUUGAUAUCAAAUAUUGAACAAAUUGUGAAUCAUCCAUGUUAGUAACAAGUCAGUAGGUCAGUAGGUGCUUAUUGUUAACUCGGUUUGCAAGUUCCUGCCAUCGGUGAGAAUUCGACCUUAACAAAAAAGGAUCUCAUCAAUUUUCUUGUCGAGUUGUCAGUGAUAGUAUUAGGGUCAAUACCCUUAUAUUACAAAAUAUGGGUACACCAUAAUCAACCUUUAACAUAAUAGGUUUUCAUGAAUCCUGAAUUCUUGGGAAAUCUAUAAAAAUCCCUUCGAGCACUACCCAGUUCUUAUUUUUGCAAAAAAUAAUAGUAUAAAUCAUUUUAAUUGCAAACUUGAGCUAUUACAGAAUACAAAUAAGUUUUUACAGAAAAUCUAAAAAUAAUUUUAUUACAGAUAAGUUUCGAAAUUUUUGCAGAAAAAAUCUUCAAAAAUUUAUAUAUGAUAUUUAUUUACUCAAUGUUCUAUUACUGACUGAAUUUGUGACAUCAGUCAAGCAAAUUCAUUUCUUCUGAUUUGGUGCUGUCAUCGACAUCUUACUUGGUAGUAGUUCCUUGCUUGUUAGUAUUAGAAAUGGACCAUGAAGUAUCUGUCAUUCCCAUUGAUGUGAGACUAUCAUUAGAGAUAUUUUCAAAGGCUUUGAACCUCAAAGCCUCACUUGGAGUUCUUGUAAGAUGCUUUAUAGAUGCUAGUGCUAAAGGAGCAUGACCUUCAAGCAUGUUUAUAAUUGACGACAUUUUAGGUCUCAAAGUUGGAGAUGGGCUAGCACAUAAUAAAGCUAGGUUUAACAUGUCUAGUGCUUCCUUUUUUGAGUAGUUAGACUCAAGACAUGGGUCGACGAGUUCAAGCAUAUUAUCUGAUUCCUUGAGGACAUAGGCCUACAUGUUCGAAACACAUUAAAAUAAACACUACAGAAGAAAUGAGCAAAUUUAACAGAUAAAGAGAGUUACAAUAGAAAUAUUCCAUACCCAGUCAAGAAGGUACACAAAUUCAUCCUUAGGUCUGUAGUUGGUAUUGCUCAUUCCACUGACAAGCUCUAGCAAAACGAUCCCAAAGCUAUACACAUCUGCUUUAUCCGUCAAAUAGCCCCUCAGUGCAUACUCUGGAGCUAUGUACCCACUGAAAAUAAGAUGCAAUCAUACAUUCUUAUAUAAAACUCAUAAUGAACUAGUGAGUUCAACAAAUAUCCCUAUUUUAGUACUUACGCAGUUCCAGCUAUUCUUGUGCUGAUGUGACUGCCUUCAUCGAUGUCAAGUUUUGCUAAUCCAAAAUCAGAUAUCUUUGCGUCGAGAUUCUUGUCAAGUAAAACAUUAGUUGCUUUGAUAUCUCUAUGGACAAUUUUAAUAGCAGACUCUUCAUGAAGGUAAUUCAAUCCUUUCGCUAUGCCGAUGCAAAUCUUGCGUCUUGUUGCCCAAUCCAAAUUCAUUUUCACUCCUUCAGGACCUAUGUGUGUGUGAAUGGAGAAUGAUAAUGAGAUUCUGAAGAAAGAAGAGAAAUGGAUAUGUUAUAUAGUAGUAAUGUUGGCAACUUACCGAACAAAGCACGUGCUAAACUAUUAUUUUCCAUGUAUUCGUAUACUAGUAUCAGUUGAUUUCCUUCGACGCAGCAUCCCAAGAGCUUAACAAGAUUUGGAUGUUGCGAAGCAGAGAUCAUGCCUAUCUCAUUCACAAAUUCACGAUUUCCUUGUUUUGAUUUGGACGAAAGUAUUUUGACUGCUAUUAAGAGUCCAUCUGGGGGAAGUACACCCUGAAAUCAUCAAUCAAACUUGAUAAAUCAUAAGAUAUUAUUUUGAUAAUUGAUACAAGAAAAAUGAAAAAACAAAGUCGAUAUUUUACCUUAUAAACUGGUCCAAAUCCACCUUCGCCUAUUUUAUUUUCUUGGGAAAAGUUUUUGGUUGCAGAUUUUAUCUGUUUCAAGCUGAAAUAACCAGUGUACAUCUCAAAUGCCCUGCGAUCUGAAAAAUGAAAUAAUCAUUGAGAAACAAAACAUUCAGAAAGAGCUAGAAUGAGUAAUGUAUCAUUCAUUCAGUCUUAAUUACCUUUGUCCUCUUGAUUCUUCUUUCUUAUAUACAAAAACAAGAUGACUACUAUAGACACCAGAAGCACAAACGCGGCAAUGACAAUACCAGUAAUCGCGCCACCAGAUAGCUUUUUCUUCUUACUGUUUUCCAACUCAGGUGGGAAGUCUACAAUUAUAUAUUUUGAAGUUAAUCAAAUCAGGUGUUAAGACAUGUCAUGUAAAGUUAUUGGCUUAUAUGAAUGAGGUUGGAACAUCAAGGUCAUUAAUUACCUCUCCUUGAGAAAAGACAAAUCAAACAGAGUCAUAGGAUGAGUGAUAAACGACUGAGAUUUGUCAACCUCAUUUGAUAUUAUAAGUAAACAUUGGUUAAAAAUGGCUUACUUGGUGUGACAGAAAUAGCUGAUAUAAGUGGCCCAUAAACACCUCUUUCUGGCGCUGAAUUAGUUCCUUUUCCAUGCCACUGGAAGUUGAUCUGCAAUGUACUUCCACUAUUUUCAUCCACGAUUGCGAAGAAUGACUUUGUUAUCCCCUUUCCUGUACCAUUGGCUUCUUUUGAAAUAUUAAAGUCAGUCAAAACUUUGUUACCUUGGAUAGAGGCAUCGAAUAUCCGUCUUCCAUUGCUAGCAUAUGUCUCAUCAUCAGUAAACAUUAUUUCAGCAAAGUGGAGCUUAACUGUAUAAUUUCCUGUUUGUAAGCAGAAACCAUAGUAGGUUAAUGAAACUGCAGUAAGACGAGCCGACAUGUACAAUAUUGGGUUUUCUGUGGUGCUUGACAAUGUUGACACAUUUGUUGUUAUGUAUGGUGCAGUAUUUGAACUAAUGUAAUCUCCUGUACUACUAAAUGCCCAAUUUUGAGUUGAAUAGUAAUUUGAUGUUCCUAAUGGUUGUGCAUCUUGUUCAUACUCAUCAUCUUUGUACUUUACUCUCUGACCACCACAAUUGAUGAAUAGCUUGUAAUCUGUGAAUUGUGUAGGUCAGACAAAAAACCAAUCAAAAGAGUACAUUCUCAAUGUAAAUUUUCUUACUCAUGGGUUUUACUGCACAAGGUAGAUUCCUCCUUAAACACGUGUUUCUGAUUAAGACAGAAGAGCGUAAAUUAGUUUGCGGCAAAAAAAUCAUUGAUUAGUUUCAGUUAGUAAUAUCUUACAAGUUGUGUUCGGACGAUACGUAACUUGAAGCCAAAUCCCUGUAAUUCAUAUAUUCAAGAAAGGGGAAAUUAAACCAGAUUCAAAUGAGCUGUGCAUAUUAUAUAGAUUUAGUUUCAUACACAUUUCCUGCACCGCAAGUUAAAUCGGAUCCCGAUUCAUUGAAUGAGUUGAAGGAUAAAUCCCUGGAGGAAAUCAAAUUUAGAUAAGAAAUUUGAAUUUCAAAGAAAAACAAACCAUUUAAGACUUAUAAUCAGCCAAUAUAAUCCUUACAUGUUCUGUUUGCUAGUUGUCAUCCAUGAUGGAAUUGAUCCGCUCAACAUAUUGUUUGUCAGAUAUCUAUAUAGUAUAUACAUACAUACAUACAAUGAAUGAAUGAAAACUCAAAACCUAUUUUUUACUGUAAAGAAAUCAAAGAAAAUGAACUUACAUGUUAUUUACAUAAUCAACCAAUUUUUCAUAAUUGCUUGGUAUUUCACCACUGAAAUUGUUGUAGCUUAGAUCACUGCAAAUUGUGAUAUUUCGUCAAAUUAACAAAAAAAGGAAGAGCAACCAAUUUCCAUAACUACAUAAGUUGAUAAAGAAUUUUACUUACAUUUUCUUUAAUGUCAUUUCCCCAAGACUUUUAGGUAGUUCGCCAGACAAGUUGCAAUUUCUUAAUGUCCUAAUCAAAUUUUACAAAGGAAAUGAUCCUUUGAUUAGUUCAUGAAAUCAUACAUAUAUAACUUACUCAUAUUUAAGUUAAUUUAAUCUUCGCACUCACAAAUAUUGCAUGUUCAUGUUUCCCAAAGAAGGGAAAACACCGAUAUCAGCAUCAGACACGGUCCUGAGUGUUUAUAAGGAUGACAAUAAUUAGUUAUAAUAACUUGUUAUUACUAUUUUGUAUCUAUUCCAUUUAUAUUAAGUUAUUUGAUUGAUAUGGUAUCAGAGACCUACAUUUUCAUCAUAUAUAUAUGGUAUCAGAAACUUACAAUUGGUUUAACGCUUUCAAGUUGGAAAAAUUAGGGGGGAAUGGACCUUUCAAAGAUGUUCCUUGCAUAUCACUGAAAAUAUAAAACAGAUAAAAUUUAGGGUUUGGACUUUAGGGUUUAGAUUUCAAAUAGAGAAAUACUCACAAUCUUUCAAGGCUUGUUAAGUUCUCAAAAAACUUUGGGAUGCUCCCACUAAAAGCAUUCCCAUCAAGUCUACUGCAGAUGGAUAGACAUAAAAGUUAAAAUGAGUUUUUAACAUAAACAUAAAUAUAUUUCGAAACAAGUUUGAAGACAUACAUGUCUUGCAAGUUGGAUAGUUCGCCUAGAGAUUCCGGAAGCUCCCCAGUGAAUCGAUUGCCAGACAGAAGUCUGUGCGUCGAAAAUUUAAAUUCAUCGAUUUUAUUUUCAAACAAAUGCUAAAAAGAUAACAUAAAUUGUGAGAAUAAAGUUUCUUACAGUCUGUUUAGAUUACUCAAUUUUCCAAGACUGCUAGGCAGAGGACCCUCUAAGAUGUUACCCUCCAAAACCCUUGAAAUCAUCAGAGAAAAUAGAUAUUUUUUUAUGGCAAAAUUCAGAAAUCAAACUAAAAGGAUAAAGAUUCUUGAUAUUGUUUUACAGAUGAGGAGGACUAACAAUUCUUUUAGAGUCUUGAUAUUCCCAAUUUCAUCUGGUAUCGGACCCCACAAUCGGUUCACGAUAACCGACCUGCAGUGGUAAUGCUAGUUAGUUAGAACCUGACUCUUUAAAACCAGUAGUUAAAACCUAAAAUCACUCACAGAAUCUCAAGAGGUAGAGAAUCCAGAGCUGCAGGAAUUGUUCCUCUGAUGUAGUUUCUGGUCAAAUCACUGUAAACAAGUCUCAAAGUGUUAAUUGAUCAAUUCAUAUUUACUAUUUAUCAUUCACAAAAAUGACAAUCCACACUCACAUUUCUGUCAGAUAUGUGAGAUUAGCGAAGUCUUCUGGUAUAACACCUGUCAGAUUCAGUGACUUGAGCUGUCUGAAAAUUAACAACAAAAAACAUCAAUUAUCAAAAGACUUAGAGCCAAAAUAACCAUCACUGUAAAAAAAAAUUACAUGGAAAUAAUAUGGCACUGAUUAGUUGCACUACAAUUUCCACAGGUGACAUUAUUUAAGGCACCAUCAUCAAACUUUUGCUGCCAUUCUCCAGUGUUGCUGCAAGGAUCUGAACUGAAAUUCCAAGAUUUCACAUUUAAUUUUUUUCCUAUCUCCUCAAGUGCUUUAGCUGCACAUACAUAUCAAUCAGUAUAUCACCCAUCUUUUUAAUUUCAGUCUGCGUUUUCUGGUUUAACUACAAAGAAACCAACUACUAACCUUCUUUGGGAUCAAGAGUCCUCUGCUGUGCUUCAGAUGAACUGCACAGCCACAGAAAGAGAAAGAACCAAAGGAGAACCGCUUGCUUCAUGUCUUAAUUUUGAUAUUAUCUUUCUUCUCUGCAACUCUGCAAGUUAUUAUAGGAAGCAGCAGGUGAAAUAAAUAGAGGGAGAGAGACUACAAUUUGAGAAAAUCUAGUGACUGGAGUAAUUGCAUAAGAAUAGAAGAAGAAACAGCACUAAUUAAUUGGCAACUUGUCUUUAAAAUAUUAAUUGAAAAGACUUUCUCACUUGUCGGCUUUCUAAUGGACCCCUCCUACCUAGUUACUGAACAUUAACCAAGGAAAGUGAAUGGUGGUCAAAAAUUGUGUGCAAGAUUUAAUUUUGUUUUAUUCUAUACUGUUUAAAGGUCUUCAAGAACAUUUCAUGUUUUAUUUCAUUUCAUGUAUCAGGUAAAUUGUGAUAGAAAUUUACACAGUGACCAUUGAAUAUUAGAUCUUUAGAAAUUUUAAUAGUGAUGGUUGUCAAUUAAGUCAAUCCAUUUGUAUGAGUUUUGUUUCAUUUCGUAUGUUCACUUGAUCAUGUUUGAAUUUUCAAUGUUUUUUUUUUAUACAGAUUAGGUCUAGGUUUAGUAUUUUACCAAUUUCUAUCGAAGCCCAUUAUAUUAAUUGAUUAUAUGUUUUUUUUAACUAUUUUAUUACUUCUUCGGAUUCUCUGAAUUGAAUUAUUCAAUUAUUGGGUUUCUAAUCCAUAAUCGUUCAACAUUUGGCAUCUUUCACCUGAUUAAAUUAAAUCAAUUUUCAUUUGAAUAUUGAGGCAAAGCCCUGUCAACAAUUAGUAUUUGACGACUUAUGCUUUCAAAAACACACAAGAUAUUUGACAACUAAUGUUCACAUUUCACACUAUUGAACUAUAUUUAAUAUUUUUUAUAUCAAUGAAACUCAGGAUAAAAUAAUUCUAAAAAAUACAGGGAGAUUUUCAAUUGACUUUUGUAUAUUAUACGAAGAUAAACUGUAAAAUAAUGUAGAAAAGUAUCAUUCAUUAUCAAAAAAAUUUACAAAUUAUAGAUAUAAGUUAUAACCUUAGGGUUUAAUUUUGUUGAGAUAAUUAGAUAUUUUUUCAUUACAAUGAUUUUUUUUUUGCAAUUUUUCAGUGGAGAUCAGUGAUCAUAUAUUCAUAUCUAUGUUCACCAAAAUAUUUUUUUAUCAAUCUUCAGAAAUGUUUUUUUCUUGAGAAAAAACAUGUAUUCAACCAUUUUGAUUUGACUCUAAAUUUUUUUUUUAGUCUUUCUUUCAUAUUACAAACAGUAGAUAAGAUUGGAAGAUAAUGAAAGUCUAACAAAUAUUCAAAGUGAUUGAAAAUAAAAUAAAUUAUCAAUCACUUCAAAGGCAUUGAUAAAUUUAAUCACUUCAAAGGCAUUGAUAAUUUAUUUUAUUUUCAAUCACUUUGAAUAUUUGUUAGACUUUCAUUACCUUAUCUACUGUUUGUAAAAUGACAGAUAGAGAUAAGGAUUGUGUAUUUGUGUGUGUUUUUUAAUCAAACCAUUUAAAAGAAGCAGUCCCAAUCCAUUUAGAAUCAAUGCCUCAAUAGGGAUGGUGGGUUAAGAUAAAUCAGAACCCAUUAAUCUCAAAAACAAAUAUUGAUUGGGUUCAUGGAUCUUGGUUUUAUGUUGAGUCCAACUAGAUUUUUUAAAAAUUAUUUAAAAUAUUUUGUAUUAAAAUUUAAAUUACCUAACUGAUUAAAUAUAUUCAUAACCUAUCGAAAUUUACAAGAUGUAAAAAUAUCUAUCUUCAGUUAUAUCAUAGUCAAAAUUUAAUUAAAAUACACAACGAGUGAUUUCCAUCCUUUUUCUCAUGAUUUCAAGUAAAUAUAUCUAAUUCUCGUGAUUUCUCAUGAUCUCGAGAUUCUAAAUCAAGUAUUUCUGGACUGUGAGAAGGAAUCAAUGAACCAUUGAAUGAAUAUUCAAAGGUGGAGAUCAAAUGUCAAAACUAUAAAUACAGGGGUAUCCAUAUGAGAUCGACUACCACACGGUCCACACACACAUUUUGAACUCUCUAAACUCCCACUUGAAAUUUUCAACUUUGUAUCCAAGGCUUUCUACUUCUCCCAAGUUGUGCUCAAGCUUCUAAAAUUUUCAAAAGUUAUUUACUUCUAAUAUUCUUGAUCAUUAUAGUAAAUAAGAAGUCAUAAUAUUUGUGUUUCAAUAUUCCAAUUUAUUUUUACCAUUCUUGUGAGUGUUUCACUUUUUGAUUGAGAGACUUUUCUCAAUAUUAUCAAAGAGUGUGGGAGGAUGCUUUUUAAGUUAACCAAAAAGUUUAAGAUUUGGUUUUAUAUAGAAAAAUUCUUAGAUGUUUAGUCUAUCUUUAAAGACUUAAGAUAAUUGCAAAUUUACUUUAUAACUUGAAAUAUUCGUAGGCAUUGUAGGUAACCUUGAAAGCUUACAAAAGGUCUUCAAAAGUUUUUAAAUAAAUUUGUCGAUAUAUUAUGGAGUAAGUCAGUUGAAACCAAUCAAUAUAAAUUUAUCUGUGUUUCUUGUUUCAUUUUUAGCUCCAAAUCAAUUUAAAUCUUAAUUAACCUAAAAUCGACAAGCUUUUACUUUUUCAUAAUGUUCGAUUUUGUUAAUUUACAUAUUUACAUGUUAAAUUUAUCCAGUCAUUCACAUGUUAUCAGGUGUCUAAGAUACCAUUUAAAUUUAAGCCUUCGACCUGUUGUCAGGUGCUAAAGAGGCUCAUCUACUUUUACUUACAACCAUGUACUCGACCUUUCAUUGGGUAUAAGAGAAGCGGGUACUUUUUUUCAAUACUAAAGUUUAACAAUAUUUUAUUUUAAAUAUUAUCUUGGCUAUUCUUAUUAUCAAGUUUUUUUUAUAGAUAAUUAUGUUUUAAUCUGCAAAACACGAAAAGAUACUAGUAUUUUCCUUAUAGUCUCGCAUUACGAUCCAACAAUUACACGUCUCUUUAUUAUUCUAGUGCUACUGUUGUUUCGUCUCUCAUAAUUAUCGCUCCUUACUCUUAUUCAUUCCAUUUCACUCUUAUCUAGUACUCUUCAAUACAUAAAUUGUUCUAGGAUUAUUAAUUAACAUUAACCUUAAUACUUUUUUAUGGUAUCAAAGAUCUUCAUCUUGUGUCAAGAUCUUCUUCAUGUCAUUGAUAUUUUUUCCUUCUCUUCGAGGUUUCUUUUCAUUGAUAUUUUUUUCGGAUGUUGCUUGUUGUUAAUUGUUUUUGAUAAAACUUAAGUAUAUGUAAACAAUUCGAUUAGUCCAAUUGAUAACUGUCACUAUUAAGGUAGAUAAACCGUUGAAGGUCCACCGUUCGAGUUUUAGUGUAUACACGUAUUGUAAUUUGUUAUUUACUUAUGUAUCACGUACAUUAUAAAAAAAAAUGAAGUAUAUGCACCAAUCAGUCAUACAAUACUCUCUCCUUAAUUAGGUCUCAUUUCGUCAGUCAUUUUCUUUGAUUUUGUCUCAUUUCGCCAGUAUUUUUCUUCAACCAUUUCUUCUAUAUCCAUCUCAUCAUGACCCUUUUCAAAUAAAUGAGCUAGAAUUUUUGGUGGUUCGCUGGCUAUAUUUACUGCAAAGCAUGUUGGCCUUAGCCCAGUUAGAAUACCAUUAUUGUUGCGCUAUCUUUAGAAUAACUAGUGAGGACUGAGUCUUGUUGCUUAUGUCACCACUCAAAAUAGUUAUAAUGAGGUACGAGGUGUUGUAUAUUGCACUAGAGGUAGUUUAAAAAAAUUAUUUAUAAGAUAGGUGCAAUAUAUAGAUUAAUGGAGAAAGGGGGUCGAUAUAUUGAGUCCGUCGAAGAAAUGCGAUAUAUAAAGCGGUCUAUUGCGAGUGAUAUCAGUUACAAUGGUUGAGAUAAGAAAAUUGACUUUGUCGGGAUGGUUUUCUCCUCCUCUUAAUGUUGCUCUUCUUCUUCUUCUCUCUUUGUAGUUCUCCUAACCCAACUGCUUUGGGUGACCUUUACCAGUGGGUGAUACUACGUGUUUGUCCUUGUUCCUGAUAUCGUGAUUCAUCCGGUGGGCGGAUUACUUUGGAGUGGUUUGAGUCGCCCGUGCGGUUUAACGUCGUUUCGAGGUAGUUUGUGUCGUCCAGGCUCGGUGUUGCCUUGUCUGCUUCUGCCUUUUCCUAGACCCUAGUAUAUGUUUCCCUGAUGGUAUCCUCUGUACCAUCAAUAACCACCGGUGGAAUUUUUGAAGGACCGAUAACUAACUGUCAUUCUUCGUUUGAUCCGCAAUCAUGGUCGAUGCCUUUUUCCACCGUACCACUCUACUUUAAGCUCCGCCAAUCUUGAUUUGGAAAGCUUUCUGAAUUCGCCUUCAUUAAAAAUGACAUCUAGGUCUUUCACGAAUCAAUCAUGUACUUCGGGAUACACAAGGUAGAGGUAGGAGGCCCAGUAACCUACCAAUCCUUCCAUUGCUUCAUGCUAACAGGCACGAUCUCCUUCUCGAAUUCGUCUUCAUUAAAAAUGACAUCUAGGUCUUUCAUGAAUCAGUCAAGUACUUCGGGCCACACAAGGUAGAGGUAGGAGACCCAGUAACCUACCAAUCCUUCCAUUGCUUCAUGCUAACAGGCACGAUCUCCUUCUCGAAUUCGGGGUGGGAAAGGUUGACCAAUUUCCUCUCGAACUUCAUUCUAGAGAUAAAGUGCCCUAGGAGACCGAUCUUCCGCUUGGCCCUCGACUGCAUGGCACGCUCCUUGAACGCAGCCAUGGAAGAAGUGAUCCUAGCUUGAGCCACAUCCCGCUCGGUUCGACAGGUGUCCCCAUCAGUCCAGUAGGCAUCCCGCUUGACUCGAAGCUGGUCCCGCUCGGACGUGACCGUCUUCACUAUGACAUUCAUCUCCCGGAUCUGCUUGGUCAUGCUCUCGACCUCGUGAUUCAGAUCACCCGUACAAGCAACCCGAGCCCUCGCAACCUCCAACCAUGCCUUCUCAACAUCCAUGGUCUGGACGACCUUAUAGUAGUAGUCCUCGCUCAGGGAAACGUUGUUCGUCGCAACGAACCGACCAUGCUCCGACUCAUGCUUCACCCAAUGCUCGAUCAGGACGUUGACGUGGUCGUACAUCGAUCCUACCUAGGUGGGGCACUCUGGUGACAGUUGGUAGCAUCCCCCCAGGAAACUGACUGUCGUGAAUGAGUUGUGAAUUGACGAGCGUAUGCAUGGAGAACUGGCCCAUUGACGAGCGUAUGCAGGUAAGAAUAAAAUCACGAAGGAAAUCAAAAUUAAAUCACAAAUUACCAGAUUGUGACGACGACGACAUUCUGACCGAGCGAAAGCAAAUCUGCAAAAACUUGCCGAAGGGGAAGCUAAGCGACAGUACACUGAAAGGAGUAGGGUGUACAGAUGAUGGCUCUCAAUGGCAGCAAGCGCUCUAAGCUCAACCUCGGGAAGGAUGAGACAUUCCGACCAGAAACUUGCUGAUGUAUCAACUCACAACUUAACUCUUCAAGAACAACAAAAGAAGAAUGGUCAGUUGAAUUACGACAAAAGAGGGAGCAACUUCAAAGUAUUUAUAAGCAAAAAAGGGGGAGGGGGCAGGGGGGAGUACUGAUGAUACCCUCAGUCCGUUAAGGGUAGUCCAAGGAAAGCAACAGUGGACUCAGUCCAACACAUCGAUCAAGAGAAGGCCCAAGACUCAACCUGAACUUGAUCCAUGUCCGAUCCAACUAAAGUCCAAUCACGGUCCGGACCCGAGCCCACCCCGCCAUGUUGAUCUAGGAACACUAAGGCCUGACCCAGGAACAAGACAUCAGUGCUAUUAAUACUACCUACUUCGAGAUUGGUAACAUGUUAUCUAAUCUACACUGGAGAGAGUGAGAGUGAGAGAAGAGCCUUAACUUGAUUGUAACGGCCAGCAUUCCAGCCUUACGUCGACAUCACGUAGUGAUAGGAUUUCUAAAGGUUUGCUCCGAUUUUCCUUGUACUUACGAUUUCGCUCACCCCAUUAACACGACCCAGUGUAAUCCCCAGUAAGGAUAAGAGCCGAUGCCCUCAAUUAUGUCCCCUAGUCGGACAUCACCAAGAGUUACCGUCGAUACUUCCAUAGUUUGCCAAAAUCCGAAUACAGACCUUCUUAUGAAGCCAUUCCCGACCCUCUUACUGUAAGGACAUUUGAAAAGCAUAUGACUUUCCGUUUCAUCAUCGGCGUUGCAGAUGACACACUUAUCACGCUAGAUACUUUUCUUCCGUCUAAAACAAAACACAGGGAGAUUAACUCCUCUGAUCACAGUAGCUCUUAAAGUUUUGAUAAUCCAUAGUUUGAGUUUGAUAAUCUGACUUUAAUAUAGCACACGAAAAUAAACAUUUCUAAAAGAUUCUUUCCUCUUUUUCACUUCCAUAUUUGUCUGUCUUUUAAAUUUCUAGAAAACUGGAAAAGUUUGUACAUAUUUACAAAAUGGACAUGAAUAAUUUAACAGUAACAGGCGCCUAACAGCACACGACAGAUAGACACCAAGAACGAAGAGGAGAGGAAGUCUAACGCCGAUCGGAGAUUUCCUUUCCCUUUCCCUUUCCUUUCGGGUAGAAGGGGGAGGGGAUCGAGGUGGUUGCCGUUGCCGUUGACGUUGACGUAUUCGAUAUUUUCAUCCACCGAAAUUAGGAUCGGGAUCCGACGGAAGAAGGGAGAGACAACGAGAGCGGUUUUAGAUUUCGUGGAUUUCGAUGACGACACUUCAGGGUUGGAGAAAAGCCGUCGGUGCUCUAAAGGACUCCACAACCGUCGGACUUGCAAAUCUCAACAGCGAUUACAAGGUGAGGAGUGGUGGACUAGGACUACUACUGUCUGUGUCUGGUUUCUCCCAAAUCUAGAUUCUCUAUUUUUUUUUCUUUAUUGACAGGAUUUGGAUGUGGCGAUUGUGAAAGCGACGAAUCAUGUGGAGUGUCCGCCGAAGGAGAGGCAUCUACGAAGUAAUUUUUGAUUUUUUUUGUUUAGGUUUUCCUUUUUCUUUAAUUGAAUGGAAUUUAUGGGUUUUUUAAUUUGUUAUUUUGAUCUUUGUGGAUUUUGGUUUUCGGAACAUGCAGAGAUUAUGGCGGCCACAUCAAUGGUCCGGCCGCGUGCGGAUGUGGCUUACUGCAUACAUGCCUUGCAUAGAAGAUUGAUCAAGACUCGCAACUGGACUGUAAGAUUACAAUUCAUCUUUAGGAUGUAGUGUUUUUUCUUUGGUUUUGAUGAGUGUGGAUGAUGGGUUUGCACUUGUGGUUUUUGUUCCUUUUUAGUUUUAUGGGUUUUUCACUCCAAAUAAUUAGAUGGCAGAAAUGAAAUAUUUUUUAGGCUGCGUUCGUCUUUGCCUUGGAGCAUUUCAUGUUGUUUGUGAGGGAACAACUAGUCAACAUGAAUGUAGCAACUACAUACAAAUUUCAUGGGUUAUUUGACAUUUUUUUUGAAAAAUUAAAACUUUCAUUACUGAAAAAGAAAGUUGGGCAUAGCCCAAGAUUACAGAAUAUAGGGAAAUGCAAGUACAGUAAAUGUAAAAACAUUGUCUAUCUCUUAUACAAUUAUGACCCUAACUAACUGGCCAAGGACUAAAACCUCAAGAAGUUGGACUCCCAUGAGCGUAUAGCUUGUAUUUCAAUCUGUGAAAGAUUGUGCUUCUUAUAGGAUGUAGAUUCAUAUGCAAUGCUCACAUCCUUUAUAAUUUCUCUGAUGACGAUUUCUGGUUGCCUUAGGGUGUGUUGUUUUAAUCUCCUAUUCCUUUCACACCAUAUGUGCCAGGAAAGGGAUGCUAUCAUGCUAGCAUAGUUCAGUGUACCCCCCAACAACUGGACUUGUGGGUAAAUUUUUGCAUUGUUUCUAUAAUAUCCCCUAUCCUGAUGUCUAUUGCGGGAGAUGGGGGAUUUUGCCCACUAAGUAUCCAAACAACAUUAUUAAGACAGAUAGUGGACUCUAACAAUAGAGAUCUAAUGUAAUGGCAGUUAAAGUAUAGGUGUUGUAAUGUUUCUUCCUCAUUUCCACAUAGUGGGCAUGACGUAUUUAUGUUGAGUCCCCAGCUUUGCAAUCCCCAGCGCAGGACGUUAUUUGACAUUUGCAGAUGACAUGAUGGUGUUUUCUAGAACUUCAACAAACUUACUAUGUUUAAUUCAGUAAAUUUUACCUUACAUUUUAUAAUGCUAAUUACGUUUAUACUUUAUACAAUUAUGCCACAUCACUGUGUUAAAUGCACGCAUUUAAGCACACCACUACCUGCAGGUGCUUUUCCAGGAGGUGAAUCUUCAUUUUAUAUAUAAAAUUAGGGUUGCCUCCCAAUUGCGAUUUCAGAAAUCGCUAACAGCCCUUUCUAUUCUCCCCCAUUUUGUUUUACCACCUCUGACGACCUCCGGAGUCGUCAAUCAAGACCAUUUAACACUCAGCCUGAAGUUCCUGAACCUCAAGAUGAACCUCAAACUGAAGCUUCUGAACCAUUGUUGCUCUAUAAGUAAAAGACGACAAUACGAUGCCUGCUUAGUUUCAAUUAUUUUCAGUUUGAACUUUUUUUGAUGAAAUAAAGUUUUCAUUGUUGAAAAAGUAGUGGUGGCCAUUGCCCGAACACAGAUGUAGCGAAAUGAAAAUUCAUGUAAAGAUGUAAAAGAAACAACAUAAAGACAUGCAGUAGCAUUGUCACUCCAGUUAAGACCUCGGUGUUAAGUAAAAUGGACUGAUGCCUUAAGAGGUUGGACUCCCAUAUAGUUAUAGUUUGUAGUUUAAUCUGUGACAGAUUGCUUCUCUUAUACGUUGUGGCACUAGUACUCACAUCCCUCAGUAUUUCUUUGAACUUUGAACAACCAUAGUUCGGUAACUUCAGUUUGAACUUCGAACAACCUAUUCUAGAAUUUUGUAUUUCUAUUAUACAAAUUCAUUAUUUUGAAAUUAUGCAUAAUAGUAUACACUAUUUAAAGAAAAUUACCAAAAUGCCACUGGUGCUUAAGCGCGAGUCCGCUGGUUCCUGGUACACAGCACACUCACGCAAAUAAAACGAUGUACCAGUAAUGCCACACACUAAUUGGUCUUAAGACUAUGGCAAGAAGAAGGUACAACAGUCAACAGAUACAUUCACUGAUGUCACAAUAAAUGUGAAUUGAGCCGGUUAACUAUAAAGUAUAAACAAUCUCAUAAAACGUAAAAGUACUUUUGUGUGGUUGUGUGACUUGUGUCUUUCUAUCAUUAGCAAUUAUUUUAUAUUUCAUAAUAGGUAGUGGUUGGUGGCUUGAUGCAAGGUUCCGGAUGCGCCUCUGCGCGAUGCGCCGCCGCCUGGAGCAUCUAAGCAUAUGCGUGCAUAUGCGCUCAGAUGCGCCAGUGGCAUUUUCGUAAAUAUUUAUAAAACUAUAGUAAAUUAAUAUUUUUUUAUAUAUCUAAAUUAUAUUAAUUAAAUUUUUUAGUUAAAAAUAUAUUGGAUAGAAAAAUGAUUAUAAUACAUCUAUUUAUUAAUUAUUAUAACACCCUAUAAUUCAUUGUAACACCAAGGUUUAAAAACCGGUUAAUCAUUUAGGGGUAUUUUCGUAAUAAUAUAGCUCUAUAAAUGGCUAGGGUUUCUUUAAACUUAUAAAAGAGAGGCUUUUAUAAAAAGAAAAUAAUAAAUAACCCAAGAGGCUUUUAAAAAAUAAUAACGUAAUGGGCUGGGCUGGGCCUUCUUUAAUACAUCUACAACAUAAAAAAUACUCUAUAAUAAUAAUUUAUUUAACCACACAUUUUUAGUCCCACAUCGAUAGAAUUCAAAAAACACAAAGAAGGUUGGUCUAUAAAUAAAGAUUCAUUUUGUCUAAAACAAAUAUGAAGUUUAAAGAGUGGGAGGAGCUUAUAUUAAAAAUAAUAUAACUCUUUUCAUGGACCAAUGUAUAAAUUUUUAUGCUAAAAAUUUAUAAGGUCUUAAAAUAAAUUUUUUUUGCCUUUUUUUAAAAUAAAAACAAAACACUGUUUUAAGUUAUUUAAAUAACUUAAAACAGGCCUGGAUCCGGGUCGGAUUUUACCCGGAUCCGACCUGGAUCCGGCUAAGGGAGAUGCGCCUGGCGCAUCUCCCUCUGGGGGCGCAUCAUCGCAUAUGCGCGCGCACCUGGAACCUUGACUUGAUGUGCAGUGUGUACACGUAAUCCCAAUGAUUUUUUUUGAAGCAGUUAAAUUUUUCAUUUAUAAAAAUGAGGGGCGUUGCCCUGAUACAAUGAGAACUAGCAAUAAAAUAUAAAAUAUAGAUAUAAAUAUGGAAAUGAGAGCAAGUCUCAUUUUGACACUUUCCACACAGCCAUAUUGCCUAGUAUAGAAGCUAGGCUAUCUGCCUCCGGAGGUUGGUCUCCCAUAUCUGUAUCGUGCUAGGUCCCAAAGGGUGACAAUAACUCUUUUUGAAGCUCUCUGGCCUGAAGGAGUUGUUGAUGUCAUUUAAAAUCUCCUUAAGAACCGUUUCUGGUGGUCUGAGAGAAUGUUGUUGCCAUCUUCUGUUUCUUUCAGCCCAUAUGUGCCAACUCAAGGCUUCAAUCAUAUUCCAGAAUAGACCCCAAGUUUAAGAAUGAUGUGUUAGCUUUUGGCAUGCCUCAAUUAGGUCUCCUAUUUUGAUGUUUGGGUAUGUUCUGAUUUUUCUCUUGAUUAACAACCAUUUCUUUGAUUAGGUUAUCCCAAGGUAGUUCUACCAUUACAUUGGGUGCUUUGUUAGAAAGUAUAGAUAUAUUUUCAGUUUUUUGUUUUGUUAGUGGAAACUCUAACUUGUUAAAUUUUACAUGCCUAGACACCACUAUUUUUUCACUUUCGAUAUCCAUAUACAAGUAGCCUUUGUGCUUCACUGAAUAACCAACAAAUACUGAUAUAUUCGAUUUAUAGUCAAACUUGUUUCUCAGUUGUUUGUGUAUUAGUGGAAAGCAUGUCACUACAAAAAAUUAGCGUAUUUCUGACGGCCACCUCUUGGCGGCCUGGCCGCCGGUAGAUAAGACCAGCGGCCAGGCUGUCGGAAAAUAAUACUUGUCCGCCGGUAUAAUUUCCUCGCGUAAAUGUGAGAAAUGAGCUGGCGGCCAGGCCGCUGGGAUCUUUUUUUGUUAAGUUUCUGGCGGCUAGGCCGCCGGGACCUUUUUUUUAGUUUUUAAAGUUAUAAAUUCAAUUAUAAAAAUUAUUUUAUAUAAAUUAUAAAAUAAAUUUAUUUUAAAUUAUAAAAAUUAACAAAAUUAAUAAAAAUUAAAUAAAUUAACUUAUUUUACCAUUCUAAAAAAUAAUUUAAAUGGAAAAUGUUUGAAUUAAUGUUUAUAUAAUUAGCUUCUUAUUAUUGAAAUGAAAUAAUUAAAUCACUAUAUUACAUAUUAUAAAAAUUAUAAUUUAAUUAAAUAAUAAUAAUAUUACUAUAUCCUAUUAAAUUACAUAUUAGGGUUAGUGUUAGGGAAAAAAUUAGUUUAAAUUACCUAACCAUAAAUUUUGUUAUAAAAAGUUGAUUUUAAACUCUAUAAAUAUAAAAUAGCCAUUUAAAAUAUUAAUAUUUAACCCAAAAAGAAACCAAACAUAAAACCCCUAUAUUAAACCCAACACAAAACCCCUAAAUUAAACUCACCCAAAAUCCCACAUCGUGUUUUCUUCCCAUUUAAAUUAAACACAAAAUAUAAAAUACUCAUUUAAAUUAUUAAUAUUUAACCAAAAAAAAAAACCAACACAAAACCCUUAUAUGAUACCCAACACAAAACCCUUAUAUGAUACCCAACACCCAACACAAAACCCCUAAAUUAAACCCACCCAAAAUCCCCUAAAUCCCACAAAGUGUUUCCUUCCCAUUUAAAUUAAACACAAAAUAUAAAAUACCCAUUUAAAAUAUUAAUAUUUAACCCAAAAAAAAACCCAACACAAAACCCCUAAAUUAAACACCCAAAAUCUCCUAAAUCCCACCACCUGUUUUCUUCCCAUUUAAAUUAUACACAAAAUAUAAAAUACCCAUUUAAAAUAUCAAUAUUUAACCCCAAAAAAAACCCAACACAAACCCUAAGCCCAACACCCCUAAAUCAAACCCAUCCAAAAUCCCCAAAUCCCACAUCGUCUUUUCUUCCCAAUCCAACACUCCAGCGAUUUCCCAACCCAACCUCCAGUGAUGAGUUCCUCUGGUGGCAGCAGCAGCAGCCCAUAUUUCAGGUUGAUUUCUUCUUCUAUUUCCUUACUUCCUGUAGAUUUCUCGGUUUCCUCCCUCUAUUUCUUCUUCGGUUUCCUUACUGUCACGCCCAUUUUACAUGUCAUUUCUUCUCUAAUCAGCCCCACGUGUCUGGUCCUAGUCUUGCUUUUAUGUUGUGAUACAAUCCUUAGUUUCAGAUAACUUUCCAAAAGAUUUCCUAGUUCAAAUGCUCACCCAAAAACACUUUUUAAACAAAAAUGAAAACAAAUUAUAAAAAAGACAACAUCCAGAAUUAAAAUUAACACUGAAAAUAUUCCUUAUUUACCUCGCUAGAUUUACGAUCCCACCAAGUUGCAAAUACCCCUUAUACUCUGAUUUCUAUGUGAAUCCACCCAACAUACCAGUGAUCUUUGAUUCAAACAAUCUUUAGAUUAUUCUAACACUUUAAAAGUUAUAUGCAUGCUCACAUCUGUUUGGGGAAGCAUUUUUUCUUCUUUUCAUUUUAUAUUCAAUUUUGGGGAAAGUGGGAAACCAUUUUUUUUUCUUCUUCAUUUAAAAAAACAACUUUAUUUCUAUUCACCAUUUUCCAAAUUUCCAUAUAGUAGAUAUGAUUUUUAUGAAACACUGAUGUCAUUUGUUUUCAAAGAGGAAAUCUAAUAAACAUCAAUAAACUCUGUUGUCAUUUUUCUUUGAUUGUUUGUUUUUGUAUUUGUUUGGUUCUAUCUCAGAAAUGAUAUAUCAUAACUUUUGAGGAUUUUGAUCCUUAGUUAAUAGAGAUGGAUGAUGAUUAUCGGGAUAUGAUUUUAACUUAGUGUCGAUGUACUCGUCUUGGUCUAUCUGUAAGCAUGUAUGUUUUUUCCAACUCGCCAUCUUCCACUCUCCAUCAUUAAUUAAAUUAGCUCUUUUAGAGGAAGUUGGUGAUGAUGAUUUAUUUUUCGACCAGGCUGUUUUGGUUUAGUUUUUUUUUUGAAACUUUAAAUAUCUUUUUCAAUUGAUUUAGGGUUGAUUAGUAUGCUUUGGUUUAGUUUGGUUUAAAUUUGCUUUAAUUUAGAGUUAAUGGUAGCCAAUAGAUAGAUUGACGGAUAGAUAAGAUCUGAUUUUAAAAUAAAAUACGAUCUGAAAUAUCAUUCCAGAUCUUUUCCCAGUUUGUUUGUAUUCAAAAUUUGUGUAAUGUUCUACGAUCGAUCUAUGCUUUAUGUUCUAAUUGUAUGUCUUUAUUUUAUUUAGAUGUAUUGGUUCGUAUUCGUUUUUUCGGUUUUUAUGGUGGUCGGGACUCAAAGUCAGAAUGAUCAUUCUGAUGAUCCUUCCGAUGAUCAGUAUUCUGAUGAUCAUUCCGAUGAUCAGUAUUCUGAUCAUCAUGAUGUGGAUAUGAACACGACUGAGUGUUCAAAGAAAAAAAACAAUAGAAACGAUAAAGCAAUCGUCAUAUUCGAAGACGAUGAAAUUGUCUACGAUAAAGCCGCAGAAAAAUUAAAAAAACGUCUGUAACCGAUAAUGUAAGCAUUUAAUCAAUUUAUAUAUUUUCGUUUUAUUUUAUUUAGAAAUAAAAUAACGAUAUUUUCAUUAUAUUUAAAUUUUCAUUUAUAGGUUGAUGAUAUAUUGGAGAAUGCGAUGGCUCGUCAAAUGGAACUUUUUAAACAAUAUACUAGCGUUUUUCAAGCUCAAAAUCCGAACAUGCACAUACCGGAUUUUCCAUCAUAUGGAGCGUCGACGUCACGACCACCAGUACAGCAGACUCCUCCUCAACAAAUGAUCGAACCAGAGGAGCAGACUCGUGGACAAUCAGUCAAUAUUUUCUCAAAAAAUAUUGAGUUAUCAAACUCAAAGUUAAUAUUUAAAAACGCUUGUUCAAAAAAGAAAAAAAAGGACAAUCAACAAAAUAAAAAUUAAGAUAGUUAGCGACUUAAGUCAUCAAAAAAACUUUUUAUUUUGUUUUGUCGCAACCUAUUUUAAAUAUUAUCGACUAUUUCAAUCUCAAUUAAAAUUUCGUAAUCAAUUUUAUUUUCAUUUAAUUUAAUUUCUAAUAAAUAAAUAAAUAAUUAAUUAAUUAAAUAAAUAAAUAAAAAUUAAUUAAUUACAAACAAAAAAAUUCAAAUAAAUAAUUAAUAGGUCCCGGCGGCCUGCAUUUCACUGGCGGCCAAGCCGUUGGCUAUUUCGAUCAAUAAUCGAAUUACAAAAUAUAUUGUCGGCGGCCUAGUCGUCAGGAAAUUACCAAGCUGGCGACAUUAGUUCUGACGAUGACAUACCGGCGGCCUAGCCGUCAGGAGACAAAAUACCGGCGGCCUAGUCGCCAGAAUUGGCCGUCAGAAAUACGUUGGUUUUUUGUAGUGUGUACAUCCAAAAGCCCUUAAUAUUUUAUAAUCGGGUUCCCUGUUUGUUAGACAUUGAUAGGGAGAUUUGUACUUCAAGACUAAAGUGGGAAAUCUAUCGAUCAUGAAUAAUGAGGCAGAAACCACCUCUGGCCAGUAAAUUUUUGAAAUUCCACUCUGGUGGAAUAAAACUUUUGCAGUUUCCAUUAAGUGUCUGUUCUUCCUUUCAACCACCCCAUUUUGUUGGGGUGUGUAAAGACAAGUCUGUCUAUGAGUCACUCCCUUGGCUCUAAACCAUUCUUUUAGUUUUGAGUUUAAGAACUCAUCUCCACCAUCAGUUUGAACUACUUUAAUUCUCUUGUCCAAUUGAUUUUCCACAUUUCUUUGAAAAAUAAUAAAAACAUUUGCAAAAUCAGCUUUUGUUUCUGGUGAGACAUGCCUGAUUACGUCAGUCACUCCCAGCAACACCCCUCAACAAGGACUAGGGUUCCGUAACUUUACGUUGGACCCCCGGAAGCCAUCCACGGUGCGGAGCAAGUGUCUACGUCAAGUACUCAAGGCAACACCUAGGAAUCGCCGACUGAGACUUCCAAGUCGCCGAUUCCAGGGGUGAAUCGCCGACUCCAGACAGGGCACUCAGAUCUGGUAGACCGAGGACCUGACUACAAGGGAGUCGGCGACUCCACCUCUGAAUCGGCGACUCCCAUACCUGAGUCGUCGAUUCCCACCCGUUACUUGGGAGGGCCCACGUCAUUAUGACACCCUUAAUUGGGUACCAUAAUGUAGUGGGCCCCACGCUAAUGAAUGGAGAAACGCCCCCAGGACCCUAUAAAAGGGGUCCUUGGGGGUCCUCCACUCCCAAGUCAUUCACCCUUGACUCACACUGCACACUAGAGCAACCAAAGAGCCCGAGUCGCCGACUUCCACGUGAGUUGCCGAUUCUCCUCCACUUCUGCAGGUAUUUGACGUAGAGCGCGCGUCGUGGACUCCAAAACCUCCGGCCCUCCUCGCAACCCCGCGAGCUUACUGGUAGCAGAUUUCGUGCUUCAUCAGUUUCCAAAGAAAAAACCAAGUGUAUCUGAGAAACUAUCAACAAUUGUAGCAAAAUAUUUGAAAUUGUUGGAGAAAGACCCCAAAGGUCAAUGUAUAACAACUCUAAUGGGCUACUUGUUCUCUUUAGAGAGUACUUAAAUGGAAUUUGGCACAUUUUAGCCAUUGGACAAUUAUUACAAAAACUAAUAUUCUCACAACCAUCUAUAUCUAAAAUACUUUCUAAUUUUUUCAGAAUUUUCUGAGAUGGAUGACCCAAUCUCCUAUGCCAUAGAUCUGCUGAAUCCUUGAUUGCCAGAUGACAUUGUUUGUCUGGUGUGAAGUAAUAGAGUGCUCCCUUGCUAAUCCCAGAAAAUAGCAUCUGAUGGGUCUUCAAGUCCUUUACCAUAAAACCGCAUUGAGUGACAUGUAAGUAACAAUCUAAAUCAUUACACAAUCUAUUGGCUGAAAUCAAAAUUUUUCUCAAUUUAGGUACUAGUAAAACCCUGUUUAGAAUAAAAACAUGAGAAUCCAUUAUAAAACUAAUUUUUUCAAUUUUGGUUAUUUUUAGCCUUUCACCAUUUCCAAUUAUAAUUCCUCCUUUACCUGUGUAUUCAGUAAACUCAUGGAAAAGUGCCUCGUCAGACACCAUGUGGUUAGUUGCCCCCGAAUCUAAGCAUCAAUCCACAUCUCUCACUUCUACGUGAUUAGUAAUAGCUUCUUUUUCACUUUCCAUUUCCAGAGAAGGACAAUCCAUUGAAUAUGCUGCAAAGUUCCCUCUCUCUGGGCAAUUCCUUGCAAGAUGCCCCCUCUUAUCAUAUAUCUGACAUCCAUGAGAUGUAUCUUGUGAAGGGGGUAGGGCUAGCAAAGGAGGUAGAUUAUUUUUAGCAAUAUAUCUAAGAAUUCUAACAAUUUCAAUAUUAGAAUUUAAAAAAUCAGAAUUAUUAUUUUUAAGAUUAGAUUUUAGUAAAUCAAAAUUUCUGUUCUUAAAUUCAGAGUUUAACAAAUUAGAUUCCAGAAAACCAGCAUUUUUAUUCUUAAACUGAUCAGAAUUUAAAGAAACAGAUUUUUCAUCAUUAAAAUCAGAUUUUAUAAAACCUGCAUUCUUAUUUAUAGAAUUAGAAUUUAACCCAUUUAUAUUUUUAUCAUUAAAAUCAGACUUCAAACAAUCAAUAUUAGAAUCAAAAUAUUCAGAACCUGAUUUUUCUUUGUUGUUUAAGGAUCCAGAGAAGUUCCUUUUUGCUCCAUAGCCUCCUUUAUUAAACUUGGACUUGAAAUUCCUGUUUGAAUUUUUAUUAAAACUUGAGUAAUUUACCUGAAAUGAACUGUUAGGUUCUUCCUUGUUAUCCAACUGAUUAAUCAAGAUCUCUUCCUUGAUUAGUAGGUCUGAAAUUUGAGCAAAAUUUGGAAAAACUUCCCUCUGAUUCAAAGUUGAUCUGAAUAUUUUGUAAUCUGAUCCCAAACCUUUAAGAAUGUAUUCAAUCACUCUUUCAUCCGACAUAUUAUAGCCUGCCGCUGCCAAUGAGUGCUUAAUCGUUUUAAACUUUAACAAAUAUUCUUUCAUUGGCAUUGUGGAAAGCUUCUUUAACGACCCCAUUUGAUCCCUAAGACAUUGGACUUGAUUUUUGUCAAUCGGUGAUAUAUCCACUUCUAGUGUGUACCAAGCUUCAUAUGCUGUGGCACAAGGUAUCACCAAGAGCUGAAUCUCAGGCGAGAUUGUGGCUUUAAUCCAAGAAAGCACAAUCCCAUCGUUCAUCACAUGCUUCUCAUAUUCUGGAUUCUCGGUGCCAUUUUCAAGUUUUGGGGCAGGAGUCACCAACAUACCUAAGAUAUACGGAAGAAAUUUGUGAAUCCGGAGUGCUCCUUCGAACUGAUUUUUCCAGAGGAGAUAAUUGCCCUCAGUCAACGGAUUAGGACACAAAGAAGCAAUCGUAUACAUCAUCUGUGGAGCCAUCGGAGCCGGAGUACCCUCAGUCGUUGCCAUCUUCAAUUGUUGUGAUUUUCUGCCUAAAUCUUUUUGGAAUAAUCUCCUCAAACAGAAAAAACAAAAUCAAUCACUCUCCCCAAAUAGAAAAAAGAAAUCGACAAUCAAUCUGGAAAGAAGAAAAAAAGGAUCAAUCUGGACAGAUCGCCUCCUCAAAUCAGGUUGCACGACGCCAUUGCUUGAUUACGUAAAUAAAUCGUCCCCAAAAACCAAAAUGCGUUUCCAAGUAAUAUCAAUCGGAAGCUCUAGAUACCAUGUAAAGAAUAUUGAUGUUUAGGUAGUUGGGUUUAAUAAAGUUUAAAUAGAAGAUUUAUUAAGAGGAACUGUAAAUGAAUCAUAAUCACCAAGGUGAUUAAACAGAAGAGAAAGAAGAAGAAUAAGAUGGUGAUAACUAAAUCUGUUAUCCUACAAAGAAUGGAAGAAGAAGAAGAUCAAAAACAGAAGAAGUAUUAGCAGAAAAUGUUAUUUACAAUAAUUCAUUUCUUGUAUUAUAUAAUACAUACAAAUCUAAAGAUCCACUCAACACUAUUUUAUUACCCGACUGCCAUUAAGAGGUUAAUUAUAUUUUUGUCCUACACCGACAACUAACUUCAAGUUUAUCCUUCUUUAUUUGGAUUUUCCCAAUAUAUUUUUAUUUCAAUGUAAAAAUUACGUCAAAAUAGUCACAUCAGAAAGUGACGAAAUAUAUAAAAAAGGAAACAAUUUAUUGUCAUCUUAUGAAAAUAUAAAAUUACAAUUUAGGUUUUCUUCCACAAAGAUAGAGGAGGAGUAUUAGAAUUCUUCCAAGUAUCAAUAGAAUCGCUAGAUUGAUAUCUAUCCCCUUUGAUAUUAUCAGCAGAUGCAUACGAUUCGAGUUCAGACAUCUCUUCAAGGGUCAAUUUCACAGAUAGAGCUUUGAUGUUGCUUUUCAGGUUUUCAAUCUUGGUGGUUCCAGGUAUUGGACAAACAUCGGGUCCUUGGUGGUGAAUCCAAGCCAAUGCCAGUUGAGAAGGUGUGCAUCCUUUUCGCUUCGCCAUUUCACUCACUCGUUGGAAGAUAACUUCAUUCUGUUCUGAAUUUUCUUUUUGAAACCUUGGAUUCGUCUGCAUAUGAUCGAAUUUUAUAGGAAGAGUUUUGUAAUUGUGGCUACUUUAAUUAUUUAGUGUACAUGUGUAUACCUUGCGAAAAUCGUUUUCCGAUAAAACAUCGGCAAGCUUGGAACCAGUUGCCAGGAAACCUCGUCCAAGAGGAGAAUAACAUACAAUGCCUAUCCCGAGCUCUCUGAUUUCAUAUCAUUAGAAAUUUAAGAAAUAUAUGAUUCUAACCAUCUAUAUGAUCUUGAUUCUGAAUAUAUAUAUAUAUACCUGCAAGUAGAGAUGAUUUCUUCUUCUACAU